rnacentral:lncRNA from 1 species
GACUAAUCUGUGUCUAUUAACACUUUUCCCCUAACCAGGAUGCAGCCUCACUGGUCUCUGCAGGGACGCCGGGUCUGAGCGUCUUCAUCAGAUCUCUCUCUGCUCAGUUUGGAUGCAUCUUGACUCUGUAAAGGUGAGUGUUUUUACUCUUGCACACCAAACACAGAUGCACACACACCGUUUCUGAGGUCUGGAUUCAAAACACAAAUAUUUUAUGGUGUUGUAAAAACACACGUUUGUAUUCCCUGUCGUAAACUUGAAGGAUGUAAAGGUCAAAGGUUUUUAAAAAAGACGUUAACAUUUUUGAAUAAGAGUAAAAAUAGAGGCAGUCCUGACAUCUCUUAACUCUGCACUUUAACUGUAUAUACUGUAUAUGUAAGUGUGUGUGUGUGUUCACGGCAGUCUGCACAAACACUUUGUCAUCUUUGAUUCUUGUUGCCAUGGUUACAGCUCUGGUUGGCGUAGAGAUAUCCCCAAUAUUUUUUUUUUCCUUUUUGCAGCUCGACACUUUUUAUGACCUGCAGGAAGAGUAGAAAGAGGAUUUUUCCCCUCUCUCUCUCUCUCUCUCUCUCUCUCUCUCUCUCUCUCUCUCUCUCUCUCUCUCUCUCUCUCUCUCUCUCUCUCUCUAAAGCCUGCAGCUCUGUGUCAAAGCGCUGAUGGGCCAUUCUGUAAAAUUUGGCUCAAAUCUGCGACAGGGUCAGAACUACUGAUACCAAACAAAGACUAAAAACGGUUUAAAGUCGCGUUUAUAUUUUCAUAAAAGAGAAAGAAAACGUGAUACUAAUUAUUUUAGAGGUGGACACAUCAUGAGCAGACAAAAUUUAGCUUUAUCUUCCAGAAAACCAAUCCAUGAAAACGAUUAAAAAACCAAUCAUCAGGCCUGGGCCAAUAAUCGGCAUUUGGACAAUGUACUACGGACAACUUGGCUCCGCCUUCCAUCAUUAUAUAAAUUUAAAGCCCAACUGAUUGCGGUAUCUCCAGGAUUUUUCGCUGAGCAUUGCUGUGAUGACACUCAGCUUAAACAGCGUAUCCCCCGGGUAAGCUACGCAAUCUUCGUACGCCCAUAGGCUGUAUCGAGUGUAACUCAUAGAAAACAUGAACCUCCUAAAAACCUUUAAAAAUGGAGCUGUACAGAAAAAAGAGGACUUGAGCACAAACUCAGCGUCAUACUCAGCUCCGACAUCCAACCUAACAGUUAACUGGAAUGCAGCAUUUGCUGAAGUGGUUUAUUAUUCUAUUUUUGCCUUGAAACAAAGAUUUGUGCUGGAGUUAGCAACGUUAUAAAUUCUACGUUUUAACUGAAAGAUCAUCACUUUUUUGUUUUCAAAUAUCACUCUUUGAUUUUAUGUGUGUAGUAACUUGUAAAGUGUUUUUAAACAGCGAAAUACUGACUCUUUUUCUUGAACUCUUGGUGGAAAUUUUUUACAGCUCCACUAUAAAAACAGAGUCUUACAGCAGCACAGCGAAAAAAAAGGCGCAGCCGUUAACUCAACAUCCCUGCGCCGGUGGGAAGGUCCAACGCUCAGGACUUUAAAUAGAAAUCUGCCACUGGGAAACCAACGGCUGAGAGUGUGAUAUAACUCAUCUGCUGCUCUCUGACUGUGUGUUUUAGUGGGAAUAUAACAAAAACAGAGUCCAGGUUUGGUUUUAACAACAAGUAGAUUGUUGUGACCUGAGAAACAAUAGCAACAAGAACUCAAACUUCAAACUGGACGUAUGCUGAGUCUCUCAAACGUCAGUAAAUCUCUUCUUUUAUGGCUGUGGUCACCUUUUUUUUCUUUUACGUUAAAGUCAAAUUUCAGACCACCAGUUACCUCCAAUUUAAUGGAUUUUUUCAUGAUUAUCAGGAUGAUAACUGUCGUGAUAUGUUCUGUUGAUUUAGUUUUUCCCUGGUUUUGUGAUUUUUAGUGUAUUUUCUUUGUAUUGGUGUUUCUCUGUAGUCCUGUCUUGUGAGUUUUCAGUUUGUCUUUGACCCCGUUUCCCUUCUGUUCUCUGUGUUUUAUUCUUUAGAUCAGUUUUCAGUGUUUAUUUCCUGUUUUAUUUUGUGUCUCUAGUCCUGUUUUACUUCCUCAGUUUUCCCUCCUUCGUUAAUCACCCAUGAGUCUCACCUGUGUCUCGUCUGCCUCACCUGUUGCUCGUUUCCUAGUGUGUAUAUAUAGUCCCUGUCUUCCCCUCUGUCUUGUUGGUUCAUUGUAUGUCGAUGUGUGUGUUCAUGUCAGCCUGUUCCUCGUGAUCUUUUAUCCGUGAAUCCUUCGCCUCCUCGUGUUUUUUUUUCCAUUGUCUUUUUUUGGAUUCUGCUUCUUGUGUUUUUUGGAUUUUUCUCUUUUUGUUGCUUUUUUAGUUUUGUCAUUUUUUUUGCUUGGCAUUUUGGGUCCUUUCUCUUUUUGUUUAACUCUGGACCGUGACAAUAACAAGGACGUUACUUUUCUGUUGGUGAUAACUUCCUACAACUUUGAUACUUGUUCUUUUCUAUUAUCUAUUUUGAAAGAAAUAGGAUGUACAGGUGCUUCUAAAUCCACUAAAAUGUCACAAAAAUUAAAAGAUUUUUAAUUGAAUUUAAAAUGAUAAACUUUUGUUUCCCUCCAGAUUAAGCUCUGAAAUUUAGAAUGUUUUGAUGUUGAGCGCUUGUGUGAAUGUCUCAUACCUUUUCUGGACACCAAAGUAAAAGUAAAAACAAAAGCGUGACGAUUGUGGCUUUAAUGAGGCGCAGAAAGCUGCUGAGGAAUGAAAAUUAAAACUGAGCCGCUGGAGACUUUAUGUGGGCCACAUGGAGUAUGUGCAGCCUAAUCUAAUUACACACAAAGAGGUGUGUAGGAGAGCGGCGUAUUGUACGAGCAGCCUGAGGAAGAGGAGGGGGGGUUUGUCUUUCUGUCGGAGAGUUUCCAUGAUAAAUAUAGCUGCUCCAGGACGCCAUUAUUCUCUGAUGAACAAAAGAUGUGGAUCCAUAUUUACUAGAAUGGAAACACAUCUAUAGGAUCUAUGAGAUGCUGAUUGAUUUCUGCUGUGACAAACAGCUGUUUGUUCUGCUGCCGAGAGAGAGACUGACGGCUCAAAGGAGGAGGACGCAAAUCCAUUUCAAUUGUUGGGCUAUUGUUUAGUGAUGGGCUGCUGUAUGCAGAUCAUCUCUGCAAGAAAAGAGAGCUGGAAGGUGUGUUUAUACGUCUGUGUGCACCAGGUUUAACGCUGACUUCAGGAUUUUACUGUUUUCUACUUUUAUUUCCAUCUUCACACUUUUGAAUUUAUUCCUCUUCCUUUUUGGUCUCCUCUUUUUAAGCAGUAAAUCGGCACAGUUCAUACACUACUAUGCAAAACACUUUGCAACCAAUUUCAACAUUUUUUUUUUUCACUCCAAGAGCUUUCAAUUAAAUUUUGACGUUUUUAAGCCCAAAUUGGUAUUUUUGAGAAAUUCCAGUUUGGUGUUUGUGAACAGCUCUUUAAGGGUUACAAAUGACCUCCUCUGUUCUGCAGAUGUCUGUAAAUGUUCGAUCUUCUCGGCUUCGACAUGGUGGAAGACUCCUGUCAAACUGGGAAAUCAUGUCCGUGAGUUUGAAGUCAUUCGGCAAUAAAUUCCAGGCAGAGUGGACUUUCUUUUCAAGGUUUUGGGACAUCAUACCUGUGUAGGGUCGCAUUCUUCCAGGUCAUGGUUAUCAAGUUCUUUGGUGAAAAGGCAACUGGACUUGCUUGAGGUUCUCACAUCACUCAUGAGGACGUAAAAGAAGACAGGCAGGCCUUCCUGGAUUGAAAGAGAAUAGGAGCCUCAGUUUAGAAGUUUACAGAAAAACCACGAUUCUCACCAUCCACUGGAGCACAAACCCGGUUCUAUCAGAACAGGGCUGAGAAGAUACCAACUAAGAUGGAAGGCAAGACGAAGGAACAUCGACACCUGAAAACGUGGGUAGAUCAUGCGAGUGGGCCUUCAUUAAGUCCUCCAAGAACCAACAGAGAAGAGCAGAACGAGGAGCUUGUCUGGAGUAUCUGAGAAACUCAGAAGGAUCUUUUAGAAACACAACAUCCCGGGAACAGAGGCUGGUCGACCCUAAAGACAAAUCCCCAGACACAAAAGAUUGCACUGAAGACCGCAGGGACUCGUAAACCGGGGAAACAAACAGCCAUUACAUAAACGCAUAAAGGCCCAGCACAGGAGAGCCAACUCUUCUGACCAGGAUCAGCUGUUCUGGAGAAACCAUCCUUGAACGGAGAUGGUGGACUAAAGCGCUUCUUAUCCCUCACUUAUAAUUCAGCUUUGGAUCAAGAUAACAUUUUCGUGCUGGAUCACAGGCUCCAACAUCAUGCUAGGAUGGCAAACCUAAAGAAACAAACCUGGGCAACCCCUCAGAUGAGACCAGGUCAACAACCCGGCUAACGACUCUCAGGUGACUCAGCUGUGAACCUUCGGGUGAACAACAGAGGAUAUUAAUUUCCAACUUUGGUCCCAGGAAGAACAUUUAUGAUCAUUACUUCAUGGAAACGCAAUCAGAUUGAGACACUUUGGCAGAACUACCUGGAAAUGAUCAGCUAAAGUUACUAAAGUUGGUUUAACUAGAGAAGCAAGCGGUCGGCAACUUUCAUCUCGAGGGGGUGUCUAACUCGGUGUUACGGUGUGUUUGACCCUAACGUAAUUUUACGCCCAAAUAUCCCUUUAAGAACUGAAGAAGCCUUUUGGAAACGAGGAAGAACAUCUUCAAGAACCUGAAACACAUCCAGUUACCCUUUCAAUGAAGAUUUGGAUGACUAAGAACAUAGAAGUGUCCUGGAAGAACCAUGAAUACAGUCCAGAACUGUUCUGAUCAUAUGGUAACAGGUCAGGACUUGCCUUGCACCAGCAUAUCAGAGGACUUGGUAAACUGUAUCAAUCAUAUGAAGAUACUGAGCAGCUUCUUUUGUUUCUUCAGACCUUUUCGUUGGAGUUUCUAGUGUGAUUUGGUUGUUGUUUUGUGUAUCUUCAAACAGCAGCAGAGUUUACUCACACUUUGAUUCCCUUAUAUUCCCAUGGACCCGCAGUGAAGAAGGAAAAUAUUGACUUUUGUUUUGAACUUCUGUAACAUUUAUAAAACUUGCUUCUGUUCUGACCGCAGAGUCGAGCGCGGUGCUCCCUCUUCCCUCUUCACAGUUUAUUAGAAACUUCCACCCCCUCUCAGAGAAAGCACACACUGGAUAAUGUGUCACAAUGCUGAAGCAAGCCUGGAAAUAAUAACGUGCUAACCUGCUUAUUAGACGAAAUUUAAUUUGCAAAGUUAUAAAUCAGAAUAUGAGAACCUGAAGCACCUAAAGCAGCCCUUCAGAGUCAGGAGGAAGUGGUGAGAUCAGGUGUCAGACGUCUCAGCGAAACUGGACGAUGAUCCAAUAAGCGGAAGGAUUUGGAAACCUUUACAAAGUUGGUAAACGAGACGGUUCGCUGAGAGUCCAGUGAUACAGUCAGAUAAAUACACAACACGAUGAUUUUCAGAAUGUCGUAAUUUGAUUUAACACCACAUGAUGAGAGCCAUUUCAUGUCAAGUUAAUCAAGAUAAACACAAGACUAGGGUGACCGUACUUCCUUUUACCUGGACAUGUCCUCAUUUUUGGAGCUGUCCAGCUUUUUUCAAGGGGAGUUUAUAAAAUCCUUCAAAUGUUUUGUAUGGAAGUUUUGAGUUUGUGUUGCAUGGACUUACUGAGUUAGAAGCACGUAAAAAAAAAAAAAAACACUCGACCUGACCCAAAAAAACUCUUAAAAUUUACUAUACACAACUCCAUGACUCCGCCCCACGUGGGAGCGUUCUCUUUUUGGGGAUUCAGAAUAUGGUCACCCUGGCUCAGAAUUUCCACUGCAUCCAGAACGGCUCCGAUCUGGAAUGGCGGCGGUUUUAGCUGUACGCCAAUUCCUACUGGAUCCGUUUGUGAGGCAGAUUACAGACAGCAGGAACCACGAGAACUCACAAGAACCCGCGGAUUCACAUGCAAUCACGCCAUAACAAGUUGUCUUUAGCCACAGAGGCUAACCAUAUAAGCAGUAGAUUGUGUCCUUCCAGAGGAGGAAAUCUACUUCUAGACAUCUAGAAUCAGCAUCUCCUCAUCCAUGGUGUCAUCGGGGUGAAAUGAUGUCUAAAAACCUUUCACUUGUUCGUCUCCGCCCGUUUGCAUGGUGUGAAAUACGAUCCUCCUGAAACAUGGAGUGUUUUAUUUUGAAAAGAAGCCGGAUGUUUUAUUUUGUGUCUGUGCCCGACUUCCUCUACAGCACGGGUUAAUCUGUGCAAAGUUAUCCGCCAUGCUCCGGCGUCUGGAAAAAAUAGAACUCUUGCGAUCAGCUGUGGAGUCCGGCGAUCCGCAGCGGAACGGAGAGAAGCCGGUGGAAUUUGACACGUUAAUUUGAAUGGUUAAGAUCAGCUACGAUCGGCAGAUACGGCCUUUUCGUAGCUGUUCCGGAAAUUGCCAGUAGUACUUGUUCAGGAACCCCUCAGGAUAACCCAGGAAAAGCUGGAGAACAUCGCAGGUAGGACUCCGACCAGAUCCUUAAAACCUUGAACAAAAGAAAGAUACAAACUUUGAUGUCUACCUUAUUUGGUUAUGAUCGCGCCUUCCAAGGAAAAAAAAAGGCCACCAUCUUACUCAAACCCAAUUUAUGAAAGGCGGUUUUGGUGUCCUGGGGUGUUUUUGAAUCCUUAAAAUCAGACUAAUCUGGGAUCUGUUGAAAGACGAGGAUCCAAAGAAGAGCUUUGAGGUCCUGACUGCGUUCAGAAAGUGACACAUAGCAGCCGGUGAAACUGCUGCAUAUGCAUGAAAUCGCCCCAUGGAGGAAACGCUUGAACAUUUACAUUUAAAGCCACUCUAGGGGGGUAUUUGAAGGGUGAGCUCAGUUCAGGCGGGGCUCCCUCUGUCUGGGGAAGUCCCUCGAGGUGGAUUUGGCAGCAAUUAAGCCGAUCCACUUGGAGAAAGACCGUGUCUGAGCGUUAAUUCCUCCUUGUAGUCUUCGAAUUUAAAAGUUUACCCCAAAGUGUCUCCCUGGUCAAGAAAAGUCAGAACUUUUUAGCUCUUUAUUAGCGGGAGGAGAGACAGAUCCUGUUAGUGUUGACGGGGCUGCCAGUGACAGGAGAAGAUGAGGGGUAGGGGGAGGUUUUUGCAAUAAUGAGGCCAAGUAAGCAAACAUAACUUCAGCCAAAAUAUGUCUGCAUCAUCACGGCCUUAUUAAAGAUCGCUUCAGGGAGGCGGAAGAUUCUGGAGGUCUGAAAACUACAAACAAAGGCCAAGAAGGAGAACUGCAGUUCAAGAAAACGAGGAGGAAACUGAGGAAGGAGAGGACGGCAGACAGGAGAGCCACCACAUGUCCUCUGGUCUCUGAAUUUCACCCUCGCCUCUGUUUCUUCAGAAGGAGGACAGGUGAAGAAAAUACCGCAGAGAAUUCGGGGAAGGUGGGCGUUAUGUUGUCAAGAGUAGCUGUGUUUGGAGACGUGUCAGAAACCGAGCUCGAGUUAACUUUGAUGUGACACCGGGUGUUUGGUCCUCUGACUCCUCUGCUGUAAAAACCUGCUCGUCUGACUUCAGCGGGACAUCAAGGCGACAUCUUCAACCCUCCUCCUUUGACCUUGGUGGUGGCAAAGCUCGUCUCCGUUAAUGUAUCCCUGAAAUAUUCAUCAGCAGGAAGUCCUGAAAGCUGCAAAGAGGGCUAAACCAAACUAGUUUACACUGCAGAAAAGAGUCUUGACUCAAGUCCCCACUCUGGAAGUUUAUUUUGUGUAUGUGACAGUGAUUUACUGUGGGUGGUUCUGGUGUAUUUAUGGGCCAAACUGAGACAAUCGCUCUUCUGGAGUUUAAUGAACCCUGAAAGUUUCUCCCUCUAUUUGUCUCCCAGGCUGGAAAAGGUCCAAAGGUAAACUCUGCUGGAGUUUUAGCUCUAAAACUCGGAGAUAUCAGGAUUAAACCAAAGUCUUUAAAACAAGUUAAUCCUCUUCUUAUGCAAAACUUUAUCUUCUAUAAGAACCCAAAAGACCAAAGACAAACUCCAUCAUAAGUUUUAGUCACACUCAAAGCAAAUACAAUUAUUCACUCAUUUCAUUUGCUCAUAUCUGAAUAACUUACUACUUUUCUGUCUACGUUAUCGCCAAAAAUGCGAAUUUAUGCGAGAGAGGAGGAGUUUCCCUCUCGCCGUUUCAAUCCGAUGUGUCGUGUUAUCAAAGCUUUUAAAAGAGGUGUAUGGAAGUAAAUCUUUGCCAGCUGAUUCUGAAUUUAAAUUUCUAAAGCUAAAUUUUUUUUGCAUGAAAAUCAGACUUUGAAUUUCAAAACCAUCGAAUUUCAAGCACGCAUUUUUAUUUCUGACACUUGUUUUUUUCACAAUGAUGAAAUAAAUUAAGUGUAAAAGGAAUUGGUCUCUCAAAAUAUUUGCGUAGUAAAAAGUUGGUGUCACAUGACCAAUCUAGCAUUAUUUGAUUGGCUGGGCGAUGGUUGAUUGAGUCGGGAAUUGAUUGCGCUCCCUGGUUCCCCGGAUGUUGAGUCGGUCUCUUUUACACUGAAUUUUUUGACACUGAAUUUGUUGACACUGAAUUUUUUUUUUAUUAAAUUUUUUUUUACUGUUAUAUAUAUAUAUUUUUUUUACACAGUUUUCUUUUAAGUUAAAUUUUUACUAAACAAAUCUUUUGAGAGACAGAUUUUUUUACACUGAAUUUAUUUCAUCAUUGUGAAAAAAGUAUCAGAAAUAAAAAUAUGUGCUUGAAGUUCGACAGUUUCGAAAAUUAAAAGUCAGAUUUUGAUGCAAAAAAAUUCAGCUUUAGAAAUUCAGAUUUAAAAUCAGACGGCACAGAUGCAGGAGCCCUGAGUUUGGUAAGAAUAAGGAUAUCCUGACCAGGUCAAAUACUCCAGACCGAGACUGUCAUCAAGCUCUCCAUCAAGCGCACACUAAAAUAUACACAGAAACAGCUGCAGACAGACACUCUCAAGUAAUAAAGUGAAAUUUUAUAAUUAGUUUUGCGUUUAUUUAUGUAUUUAUUCUUGUACUUUUCUUGGUGUUUGCACCAAACAGGAUGAUGUGUAAUUUUAUGUGCAUGUAUAAUGGGAGUGAAAAUAUUUUCUCUAUGGAUCGUCUGAUAUGGUUAUUUUUAGAGCAGAUACCGACACUGAUUAUUAGUCAUCAAGGAAACUGAUAAUCGAUAUUUAGAACCGAUAUUCAUUUGCAGUAAAAAUGUCAAAAUCUUAGAUAAUUCUCUCUCCCUCGCUGUGGAGCUGCACCUAGAAGCUGGAGUGUUGAUUGGCUGUCUUUGUAGCCAAUCAGUGGGGACAGUGGGCGGGGCAUUGUUACACAGCCAAGAGUAGUGACUUCAGGCCGAACGAGCACGUUUUAAAAAUAAACAAAUUUCAUCGGCUACCGGUUAAAAAAAACGUCCGAUGCCGAUUUUUGUAAAAAUGCUGAAUAUCGGCCGAUAAUAUCAUCCAUGCUGAUUAUUGGUCGAUCCUUAAUUUUCUCUCUCUCUCCAUCAUCUCCAAGAGAGGCCAACAUUCUCCAUCGUGGACAUUGAGUUCUUAUUUGCGUCCUCAUUCCCGUUUUGUCCUGUAAUUUUCCCUGUCUGAAAUCUUGAAGGAAACCCAUUUAAAGGUUUUGAUGAUUGGGUUUCCUCAUCAGUAAUCUGGUUUUGUCUCUGUGGUUAUUUUGAGUUGCUAAUCUGAAAGAUAAAAGCUGAUUUUCUGCAGAAAAGACAUCUCUAAAAUCAGGAGAGAAACCAGCUUUGAGACCGGACUUUUAUGGUUUGAAAUAAACUUUUUCAGUUCCUCUUUAGUCUGUAAAGAUCUUCUCAGCUCUUGGUACAGUUAAUCCCCUUGUCUCCUUCUUUCCUUACCUUUCUAUUUCACUCUUUGCCUUUUUUUUUCUGUUUCAUUUCCCCCUCAUCCAUGUAGGUAAAGAGUGAAGCUGACAGGCGUGCAGGGAUUUUUAACGUUUUCCUCUGCUGUGUCCUCACAGAUGACAGCUGUUAUUACACGCUGAACAAUAAUGCAAUAGUCAGCGCUCCUGAGCGCAGCUUAAUAUAGCCGCUGUUUUCACUGUCACCUCCAUGGGAGGAGGAGGAGGAGGAGAGGAAAGUAGACAACGAGAGGAAGAUGUGAUGUGACAGGAGCCAGCAGGAUGAAUUACAGGGGAAGAAAAGAGUCGGGAUAAAGGAGGUGAGUUUACACCCUGUUAGUGUAAUUGGAUUAAGAUUAAAUUGGUGAUGUUAAAAGGAGGAUAAUCUCCAGAAAGUGUCAGAAUACAGAGAUGUCUGCUUCAGCAAAACAAUUAACCUAAUCCAGACAGAUCACUCCGACACACCACUGAAGAUCAUUGAAGACGGUGAAUCCUGAUCUGGGCCCUCCAACUUUACAGGAAGUACCUCAUACUGUGGUGGUGCUGUUAAAAGUCCGGAUCAGAGCCGGGCGAUUAAUCAGUUUUUAAUUCCAAUUAGGCUGAGGGCUUCCCAGGAUCAUAAGAAUGUGAUAAACAUGAUAAAGGUCAAAGAAGUGCAACCUCCAAGUGUGUGUCUGAAAAGCGAAGGGACAGAAUGAGCUUGAGGAGAGAGAGAGGCUGUGGAUCCUGAAUUCACUGCUGAGUGGACUCUGAAGUGAGAAGGAAGAUGAUGUGCAACGCUUCGGUUUUUCAAUGUUGGGAAAUCACAGACUUUGUGUAUCUCAUGCAAAUUCACGGCACCAAACACUGACAUUCAGAGGUAAUCUACAUGAUGCUUUCGGGGAGAUAAGCUGUUUCUAACCCCUAAUUUCCACCGCAUCCAGAACGUCUACGAAAAGGUCGUAUCCGCCAAUUGUUACCAUUCAAGUUAGUUUGUCAAUUUCCACCGGCUUCUUUCCGUUCCGCUGCUGAUCGCCGGACUCCAGAGCUGAUCGCAAGAGUUCUAUUUUUCCGGACGCCGGAUCAUGGCGGAUAAAUUCAGCACAGAUUAACCCGUGCUGGAAAGGAAGUCAGGUACAGACACAAAAUAAAACAUCCGGCUUCUUUUCAAAAUAAAACACUCUGUGUUUCAGGAGGAUCGUAUUUCACACCAUGCAAACGGGCAGAGACGAACAAGUGAAAGGUUUUUAGAUGUCAUUUCACCCCGAUGACACCAUGGAUGAGGAGAUGCUGAUUGUAGAAGUCUAGAAGUAGAUUUCCUCCUGUGGAAGGACACAAUCUACUGCUUAUAUGGUUAGCCUCUGUGGCUAAAGACAAGUUGUUAUCACCUGACUGCACAUGAAUCCGCGGGUUCUGGUGAGUUCUCGCGAUUCCUGCUGUCCGUAAUCUGCGAUGAAAUUUGCCUCACAAAGGGAUCAGUAGGAAUUGGCAGAAGGCAAAAAUCGCCGCCGGUCCGGAUGUGGUGGAAAUCUUGGCUAAGUAUCUGACUGAGCAGAUCUCUCACCCUGAUUCAAAGUGAGCCAGAAACUCAAGUAACCUUGUUUUGUUUUGUUUUUAUUAAUGUGAAAUUAACUCUGCACAGAAAAAGGCGCAGUGGCUGAAAAUAAUGUCACCAGGAAAACGGCAUCAAUCACGACUGAUAGGUUUGGAAAAAGUCGUGAAGAAAAACAAAAACAAAAGAGCUUUCAUGCUGUAGAAAAAGUCAACCUAAGCUUUGAAACUACACCAGUGGCGUGGUGCUGACAGGUAAAUAGGCUUUCACAUACCUUAAAAUGCACAAAGUGUGCACCAUCUUUUAGCCAAGUCAGAGUUAUCUAUCAUCGGAGUCUUUGUGUUCAUUAUUUUCGAUGUCAGAUAUCAGAAACCUGCUUAAUCCCAACAUUUCUGAGCUCCAGUAUGAAUCCCGAGCUGUAGUAUGGAGUGUAUAUCAUGUGUCAUAUGGAGGAUGUAGGAGUUGGAUUUGAAGUCGAGUCUCUUAACUAGUUUGAAUCUGAUGUGCAGAGACAUUCGCUGAUACCGAGGAAGUAGAGCGACGGGUAUUCGACUCACACUGACACACGUCAAAGCGCUGCAGCUGUUUGAUGUGCGUUAAAGAGACUGGAUUUCAGAUUUACGUUACGGCUGCAGUGAAGUCUGCAACCUGCAGGGGGCAUGAUCCCAUGACAGAGAUGUUAAUAUGGGGAACAUGUGCCUGUCACUCUGUGUGUGUGUGUGUGUGUGUGUGUGUGUGUGUGUGUGUGUGUGUGAGAGUGAGUGAGUGAGAGAGUUACAGAUCUGCAAAGAAACUCCUGACAGGUGUGCGUUUGUAUUCCUGCAGGUGAACUGCUCAGAGGGAUGCAGACACUUCUGUUCCAGCAUAAACCUCUGAGGCACGCACACACACACACACACACACACACACACACACACACACACACACACACACACACACACACACACACACACACACACACACACACACACACACACACACACCUGUGUAAGUAAAGCUGUUUCAUACACCUCCUACUACACACACCAACAAACGUGUGUUUUAUGUGUAAACUAAAGACAAUGUUAGAUGUGAAAUGACCUUUGUGUGACUGCACUGAGGCAUCAUGGGAACUGGAGGAGCAGAGUGAAAGGAGGAACAAAUGACAAGAAGAGAGAAAGUAGAAGACGUCUUGGGGUCUCCAAGAGAAAAUCAGUAUGGCGGAGUCAGAAAGGUGUAUUAUCCGUCCGUUCAAUUAUUCCAUUCAAUCUAGUGAAUGAAAAACGAAAAAAUGAGACAAUAUUUUCUUUAUUUUUUUCUACAUAACCAAAAAAAAAAAAAAAAAAAAAAGUUUGUUUUCGUAUUUUCAGUUCAAAACAGAAUAUAUAAUAGAGAUGGAAACGAAAACAAAAUAAUAAAUCUACUUUUUGUUUUCCUUUUCGCUCAAACCGCUCUGUCGUAUCUUUCGCCAUGGUAACUGUUGCUGAGGAUCAUGGGAAGGUCAAUGUAACCUCCAUGCACGUACGCUCAAAACAGGCGCACUCAAAAUCAAUAAUUGUAAAAGAUUUAUUAUUUUGUUUCCAUCUCUAUUAUAUAUUCUGUUUUGAGCUGAAACAGUAUAUAUAUAUAUAUUGGUUAUACAGAAAAACAAAUAAACAAAAUAUUGACUCGUUUUUUCAAUUACUAGAUUGAAUGGACGAAUAAUACAUGGACCCAGAAAGGUACGUUCUAGGGUUUAUUACACCAGUCUCCAAACAGAGUGAAAAGUAUGUACAGUGUCAAAACUGUUUACAGAAAUAUUCAAGCAAAUGAGCAAUGGGCUCAGACUCAAAAUGGCUUCUUCAAUAACCUUCAACAGCAGCUUGAGCGACCAGCAAAACUCAAACACUACAGACAGACAGACAGACAGACAGACAGUCCAUUCAUAAUUGAUCUACUCACCAGUAUCUGCCAUGUAUCACCAACACUCCACAUUCACCUGUCUUCUUCUUCUUCUUCUUCUUCUAGUUUAACGGCAGUUGGCACUCUUGUGUACGGUGCAUUACCGCCCUCUUCUGGCAAUUCUUAUGCAAAACCCCUGUGCACCACCCUUUCCCAUCUCAUUCACUAUACUCCCUUUAGUGUAAAGUCCUGCAUACCCAAUUCCCUCAACUUACUUCUCAUCUCUCCCCUUUCCAUCUCAUAUCUCCUACAACCCAUUAGUACAUGCUCCACUGACUCCUCCACCUGACAUCCCUCACAUAACCCAGUCUGGUGUUUCCCUAUCAUUUUCAGUGUUUUGUUUCACAUUCACCUGGACAAAAUGGCUGACUUUUAAACAAUAAGCCCCUCCCAUAAAUCAGAACAAAAUCAGGAUUUCCUUUCCACAGAAACAACCAACAUUGAAUUAAAAAUCACUCACAGAUUGCAAAAUACAUCAGUUACAUUUUCCCCAUUUUAUAUGUUUUAAUUUAGUCUCCUACACUGAAGAAUAACACAUAAUUAGGUCAAAAAAAAUAAAUAAAUCAGGUGCCCCUUUUCCCGCUCAGUGCCCUUUAAAAACCCGGAAGUAGACGCGCCCCUGUUUGGCUGACCGAGGACAGCGGGGAAGAAAGCUUCGGCGUCAGUUGUGGUGAGUGUCUGUGUGUGUUUUAUGUAUGAACGUGUGUGGAGAACUGCGAAUGUUACAGGACUACUUUAGGACUUGUGUUGAUGUGACUUAGUUUGAAACUUGUGACCGCAGCGGUGGACCGGAAAUGAAGGUCGGCGCGUCGCGUGUCGCGUGGAAUCGUCUAGCAUGCUAGCUGCGUUCAGUGACGGCGCCGCUCCGUCUCAGUUUUCUAUGAACUACAGAGUUACAGACUAAUGUAUAAAAGCUCAGAAAGUCAAAUUUCAUGAGAUGUUGAACUUUUCAUCACAGAUCUGUUCCUGUACAGAGUCAGCCAUCUUCUCUACAGUAGGGGAGAUCAGGGUUGCUUGGACAGGGUCAAAGAAAUUGAUCAUGUGACCAAAUAUUUAGGAGAUGGACAUCAAUUCAUGGAGUCUGUGAAGGUUAGAAGCACAAGGGUGAAGAGGUUAGACAUUUAUAUUUAAAAAAACAUAACAAAAAACAUACAAACAAACAAAAAAACUCUUGAAAGUGAAUUUAGUCUGUCAUAAGUUUUAUCAGAAUUGUGUUCAGACCAAAAAAGAUCAUUUUAAAUUUGUUUUCUACAUCAAUUGUGCUAUCUAUGAGCUACAACAUGAGGUCAAGAACCUAAAAGUCCACCAUUUUAGCUCAGAGAACUAAUAAAGUCAUCAUAGUAGUUCUGAGAGGAUCAGAGUUUCAGUUCAGAUCAGGGCUGCGUAAUAUUGGAAAUAACUAACAUUGCAAUCUUUUUCAACCCUGUGAUAUAUAUUGCAAUAUUAAAAAAUAGAGGAAUUUUCACCAGAUGACCUGAAUAGCACUUUCUGCUGAAAUCUUGAGGACAGUUAACCUGCACUGAUCUUACCUCUUUUAGUGAAUGUUAGUAGAAUGGCUUCUGUCUGUCUUAGAGAUAUUUUUAGUUUGUUUCUAUUGUGCUGGGACCUGUUAUCUCUCCUCGUGGCAACAGAUGAACACAGAACAGUGUUUUGGUCGACAUCAUCCUUCUUGUAACUGAAAUAAUUCCAGAUAAGUGACAUUGCUUUUCUUUUUGCCAACAAGUCUUCAUUCUCUGUGGUUUUCUCUUGUUCGUCGCUCAUUUUGCAGUUGUUGUUGUUGUUACCUGUGUUGUGCUGAGAAACGCGUGUCCGCCGAGAAUUGCAUCCACCUUGCGGAAACAGCUUUUUAGCAGUUAUAUGCAAUAAUAAUUAAAAAAAUAAUUGUACUAGUUGAAUAGUGUAUAAUGUAUCAAAAUACACAGGAAUGUGAAGAAGUGACUAUUAUUUAGGGAGAGAGAAGGUGAGAGAGGGCUGGGGACAUGAGGUAAGUUGACCAUAGGAGACCCUUUUUUUGGCAUGCUAUAUUAUCAAGAUUACAGUUCUGUUUACACUCAUUCUGUUGGUUUGCAGGGAUGAACAACCUCUUGAAAUAUAUGCAGAUACACUAGUUAGAGACAAAGCUAGGAUUGACUUGAUGCAGUGAUCUGAAAUAUGAAAAAUGUCUCAUCUUACCCCGCUCUCUCCUAUCUGCUGUUAUAUUCAUGACUGUAUAAAUUGUUGGUCAGACCCCCCAGCUUCAAUCAUGGAGGUGUGUUUAUCAUCUCCUUUUCAAAGUAAAUACUUAAAACAACUCAAGGCGGAUCCCCCAGAUGGUCACGGCUUUGCAGAGCUGGAGAGAGAAUAAACGGCAUGAAAACGAAGAGAGUGAGUGACCUGUACCUGAAGCCAAUCCAUGAUCUUUUAGUAAAACUAACUUUUGUUCAAGAUUAACCAGCUUUUUUUUUUAGGAGGGCAGUGAAGAGAAAUAAAACAAAGACGAAAAAUGUCAGAAAGGGAGAGAGGAUUAAAGAAAGAGAGAAGAAAGGCUGAGAAGUGAGGGGGUGGAGGAGAAAAGAGAGAUGGAGACAGUAAAUGGGCAGAGAAACAGAGAAAACAUGUGAGUAUCAGGCUCUGUGUGUGUGUGUGUGUGUGUGUGUGUGUGUGUGUGUGUGUGUGUGUGUGUGUGUGUGUGUGUGUGUGUGUGUGUGUGUGUGUGUGUGUGUGAUGAUCAGAUUUGGAGGCUCAGCUGAGCAGAAGGUCUGCAGCCUCUUUGUUCCUUUCACAGCUUUAAAGGCACAGCGGGGAUGACAGCGAGCGGCGACGUGGCAUAUGGAUUAAAUCUUAAAAACAGAGACUUUAACAAACAUUUGAUCUCAGAUUCAGCCUUUUAAGCAAAUAUUGAUGAUUUUAGCAACAAAACUCGGAGUUGAGGAGCAGCAGGUUCUUCAUAAUAAUAAUCCAGGAUCUGGUCUUUGGGGUUUGGAGUUUUCUAAUGUCCAACUUCAGUCACGGCUGUAUUGACCAAUCAUGAAUCAGUAAUUUUGACCUGAAAUGAAUGGAGACGUAAAUGAUCAUACAUUUUGAGUUCAUAAUAUCAGCGUUAGCUUCCCUUAGUUCUUUGUGCGACUUGGUAUUUACAGUGAAACUGAGACUCCCAAGAAACACAUAAAAAAGGUGCUUUUAAAUUGAAUCAAACUAAGAUUUCUUAACUUGACUGUGCUGAAUUAAGCCACAAGAGUUGGUCUGAGUUGUAUCAGACCAACAAAAGGAGUCAUUUCUGAACACUUAAUACUUUCGGCACUUUGAGAUUUUUUAAUAUAAAGUGCGUUACGAAUAAAUGUAUCAUUUUAAGUUGUUGUUUAAUCAAAUGUUCUAUGUUGAUCUGUUCUCAUAACUCUAUAACUCUUUCCUGUUGAUUCGUACAGAGGAGACACAAAACCAUCUCUAACAAGCUUCUUAAUUGCCUCCAGUGUUGUCGUGGUAACCAGCGGGUUGCAUCCGACUUUGAACAGUGACACUGAGUUUAUGCACACCAAACACACACAUGUGAAGAUCAGGAUCAGUUAGCCCGAGUUAUCUGCCGUGUAAUCGCUGUGUUUAAGUUUAAUUUCAUGUGCUUAACAUUUUCACUUCUCCUCCUCCUCCUCGUUUUCUUCAUCCCUUUCUUUCUUUAUUAAUUUAAAGUGAUGAGACCCAGAGGAGAUAAGCACACACACACACACACACACACACACACACACACACACACACACACACACACACACACACACACACACGUGAACACACACUCCUGUCAGUCCUGCUGGGUGUCUUAUUAACCCUCAUUAGCCAUUUCUCUUAGAUAUUAAUGGGACCGUCUAAUGACUAACACUCCCUGCAGAGCACGCUCAGCGUGUGAGUGGGAGACAGUGUGAGGAGUGACAGGGGAAGACAGGAGGUUAGGGAUGAAGAGGGGCAGCAAACAGAUGGAAAAACAUGGACGAAAGCAAAAUAAAGGAGAGGAAAAUAGAGCUACAGUAUAGAUCAGGUCAUUGUUUCAUGAGUGUGCAUCCUCUGCUGCAGGAGUCCUCUAAGUUUUCAGCCUGUGAACGUGUGAAUGGAGUGGAAACUGCAGUGAGGGGGGUGGUUUUGAAAAGGGGAAUUAAACUCAGGUUUCUUGUUUCCUUUCCAAACUUCCCAAUUCAGAUUUAGGGUCCAGAACGUAUGGCCACACUUCACAUUUUGUGAUCUUCAGUGUAGACAUGCUCAUAACUCAAUUUUGUAGCAUGGCAACAGUGGAGGAGGUUUCCAGAGGGCAAGUUAAUAAGAAGAAAAUGGACUUGUAGAAAGGAACUCUAACCCCUAAAUUCCAUUGCGUGCUGAAUGGCAGCAAAAAGGCCAUUUGCGACGAUCGCCGCUGAUCGUUUCCAUUCAAGUUAAUGUGUCAAAUUCCACUGGCUUUUUUCUUUCCCCCCCUGCGGUUCAGCGGGCUUUGUAGCGGAUUGCCAGGGUUCUGUUUUCCUGGAUGCCGCAGCAUGCCGCAUAAAUUCAGCACAGAUUAACCCGUGCUGGAAUGGAAGUCGGGCACAGAUACAAAAUAAAACAUUGGCAGACGACGAACAGCGGUGCCGUUCCGCAUGCGUUGGAAUCUGGGGGUAAAGGGACAACAGCUAAGAUAAAGGGUUGAACGCAUCAGUCGACUCAACUCUGAUGAUCUGACUUGGACUUUGGAGACGUUAGACUCAACUUGGACUGGGGAUUCGGUGACUUGGCUGCAGCACUACCUCACAGAGUUGCAUAAAGUACAGACAGUAUCAGGCAGGAUCAAACUAAGUGAAACUGAAGUGAUUUUAGUUUUUUAAUCUGUCUUUAGUGAUGUUGAAAUCCUAAAUAUCAGCGGUAGGUUUCUGUAGGGGUCGAUCGAUUUUGGUUUUCAGGGCCUGUACAGAUUAUUAGUUCAUGAGACCGUUGAGUGAUGCGAGUGUUUUUAGAUUUGUUAAACAGGGCAGCUGUGGUCGUGUCUUUUUCUCGUGCUGCUAAGUUUGCCUCUGAAAAACUGCUGAAUGUAAAAGCACAUGAUGUCGAUUCUGCGUAGCUUGAAGCGGAUUGGUUCUUGCACUGAACGCAUUUGUGCUCCAAAAGUCCACAGCCGUGCAAGCAGCAGAAAGCAGAGCUGAGGCUGAUGGAAGUGUCAUUUUCCUGCAGGUUUUUAAUCACAAACCACCACUGGACAAUAUAAACAACUAUUAUGCAGAGUAUUUUAGAGCUUUUCUUUCAUGAAGACAGAAGAGCCCGUGCUGACAUAUUUUCCUGCUCAUGAAUGCACGUAGACCGGGUCAAUUCAGGAGCUCCAGGAUUGGCCAGGAGCUCUGCAGAAGUGUCCCCCAGCUGUGAGGCCCUCAGGCUGGGCAGCUGACACAGAGAGUGGCCCCCUCCUGAUCCCCUGGUUCGCUCUAUCUUAAAGUGAAAUGAGGCAAUAGAGAGGCAGAGAAGGAUAAUCCUGUGAAGGAUAAGACAAUAAGGAUAAGGCAGCUAAGGUGACUGUUACCAAAUUAAUCAAUAAAACAGACACAAAUGCUCAUUAUUUCCCCCUCAUUUGAGGCAGAUUUCAUUUCUGUAUUUGAGACUAAAAAAUAAGUAUUUCAUGAGGAUGGGACUCAGUUUUGUACGCCUUGAGUAGAAUUAGUGCUGUGAUGCUGAAAAAGCCUUUUAGCUGAUGGUCACAGAUUGAAGCAGAGUGUUUUUAACUGUCUGCAGUCUGAAAAAGCAGUUAUGACAGAAUAUCUUCAGGACUUAUUUUUGUACAUUUGAAGCAUCCAAGACAUGCAAUGAAAUCUUUCACUUCACAGAGUGUUACUUCAGUGGCCACAUAAUCAGAGGUGAAGGGAUGAUUAUUCACUUUAAGCAUUAUUAAUGACAAAUUGUGUGGUUAGAGGAAUGAAAUGCUUCUGUGAUGUCUGCUUGUGGGGUUUAGAGACUUAACAUCCAUCCAGAGGUGUCAUGUUGGAGGUUAGGAGUGUAGUCUUAAAGGGAUAUUCUGGCAAAAAUUAUUUUAGGGUCAAACACACCGUUACACCGAGUUAGACACGCCCUCAUGAGAUGAAUGUUGCUGACCGCUUGCUUCUCUAGUUAUAACAACUUUAGUAACAACCGCAGGAUGGCAAUACAGAGUGGUCUUACUAAAGUUGGUAUAACUACAGAAGCAAGCGAUCGACAACAUUAUCUCUCGAGGGAGUGUCUAACUCUGUGUAAUGAUGUGUUUGACCCUAGAUUAAUUUUACGCUGGAAUAUCCCUUUAAUCGCUGAAACUCUGCAGACUGCAAACCCUCUCACCAACUCUUUGCAGAUGGUAAUAAUUUACCUUCUGCACGGUUGGUGUAAAAUUUUGCAAGAGGCCUGUUUGCACGGAAAAGGACAUAUUUUGCUCCAAAUUAAUGCAUAACAGCUCAUUUAAACACAUGCGCACAACGAUGAUGAGCUGAGACACUUGUGCUCUGCAGCGCAGUUUGGGAGCAUUUAACCCUUUGAACAUGCUUUGUUGAAUUAGACAAUGUCUUUUUAGCUUAUUCACAAAGAUUUAGCAAGUUCAAAAGCUGCACGAUCAUUUUGUGCACCAGGGCCCGAGGUGUCAUAAAGAAUUCAGAGAGACUUGAGUCCAGGGAGGCCAGACUGAGUCGAUAUGUUUGCAGGAAAAAAGAGAGAAGGUUAAAGUUUCACACGAUUUGAAAAAAUGCAGAUUUAAGCGUCAAAAAAUCAACAAAAGUGUCCUGUUUGACAGAGAGAGGGGGUGGAUUUUGGGAGGGUGACGGCAGGAGGCAGAGAGCUCUGUGGAAACUCAACACAGUGACCCAGGAAAACAUACAGAGCUAAAAAUAAAAUAAAGCUCUUGUAACAUGUCAUAUUAAGAGGAUACUGAGCUAAGGAGCAUCGCAGCAGGAGAGCACAGACGCGCUAAUAAUGACAGUAAGCUAAAGCUAGCAGGCUAACAUUGUUAACAACUGGAUAACAGCAGCAGCUGAGACGACCAAAGAUGUGCAGGAUCAUCAGUGACCGGCUGGGUGGACGGCGGCCAGCGUUUCAUCUCAGUGCCUUUGAUUCGCCGUCCUCCUGCGGGCAAAGUCACUUGUGGCGCCUCCCUGAGCUUUAACCCCGCUGUAUUGGCAAUAUAAGAGUGUGAAAAAGGUCAAAGUGAAGGAGCUGGGGUAGUUACAUUGAUGCAGUGAGCUGAACACGUUUACAGCACAGAGUCAUGGAGAUAAAAAUGUGUCAGAAGCACUCAGAGUGUGUGUGUGUGUGUGUGUGUGUGUGUGUGUGUUUGUGUGUGAGUGUGAGUGUGAGAGAGAGAUCAUACUUAGGCCUACGUGUAUUUCUGAACAUGCUGCAGAUCAGUGGAGCAUUAACAGAGAUACAUGCUUACAUGGUACAUCACACACAUACACACUGUAAUCAUACCAAUACACAUGCAGUCAUGGAUUAGUAAUUUUACACACAUAUAUACACACACACUGAGCACAGAUGUACAAGUAACACUCCUGCUGUAAAUCCGUGUUGUGGUAAAUUAAGAUCCUGGGUCAGUAUCUUCUUACACUGAGGAUGUUUGUGAUGCAUGAAAAUCUCCAGAUAGAUGUGUGUAUCUAAUUUCCAUGAGCCAUCCGGCUGUGCAGCUCGAUAGCUGUAGAAAUACAUUUAUUUUUAUCCCGCGAACCAGUGUCGUUGUAGUACUCGAAGUUCUAGAUUUGGGCUUGAGUCCAGAUUUUCAGGUCUUGUGGCUCAACUUGGAGUCAAGCUCUGAUGACAAAGGUUCUGAUUUAUAGGAUCAGUGGCAAGAUGUCAGGUGUGGAUGAGAUUCCCCCUGAGAUGCUGAAGGCUCUGGACUGUGAGAGGUGAUACGAGUCUACGAUGUUGCACCGAGGUCAGAGGGACCAGAGAGUGAGCUCCCAUUAAAACCUGAACCUAGAAUUUUGGAAAGGAGGCUCUGAUAGAUGGUCGAACCCCAGAUACAGGAGGAGCACUAUGGUUUUCGUCCUGGCCUUGGUACACUGGAUCAACUCUUUACCCUUGCAAGACUCCUGGAGGGAGUUUGCCCAGUCAGACUGAAAGAAGGCUUACCCCCAAUUUCCACAGCAUCCGGAACGGCUACGAAAAGGCUGUUUGCGCUGAUCGUAACCAUUCAAGUUAAUGUGUCAGUUUCCACCGGUUUCUGUCCGUUCCGCUGCGGAUCGCCGGACUCCACAGAUGAUCGCAAGAGUUCUAUUUUUUCUGGACGCGGGAGCAUGCCAGAUAAAUUCAGCACAGAUUAACCUGUCUCUGUAAGCCAAAGUCAGAGCUUAGUCCACAUACUCAGCAUAGAGUCAAACAAGGCAUGUCCGUCUUUGCCAGGGUUACCUCUGUCACCGGAUUCCAUGGACAGGAUCUCAAGGUGCAGCUGGCGGGAGGGUCUGUGGUUCAAAGGCCUAAAAGCUCUACCUCUGCUCUGAUGAUGUAGUUCUGUUGCUUUCAUGAGCUUUUGGUAAGGACCUUGAGAACGAGGUCAUGGCUGGAGUCAACUGAGGUGGUCCCAGGAUGAGAUGAGGACAAAACAACCUGAAUGCAGCUCUUUGAAAGUCUGUGUUGUUCAUCCUCUGGGUGGCAGGAUCACCUACAGUAAAAACCUCAGAAAUCUUUAUUCCUGAUGUCUCAUUUAGACUGAGCAUUUAGUUUUACUAUGCGCUCUGUAUCGCUGCUAGCUUGAGGUCAGUGUGUCAAGACUAGAUUAACAUUCAGAGCAAAUUUAUUGGAUGCUAAGGUUGGCUCAUAUUAACCUCAGUGUUGACAACUCCAAAAGGACAGAGCUCACACCACCGAACCUACAACCCUUCAGCUCCCCACAUAUCAAAUCAGAUAACAGACCUCUACUGUACUUUAAAGCCUCAAUAUGAAUUUCAAUCUAUCGAGAAACUCCUUACAGGAGCUCUGAUGGUUUGAAUCAAUGAUCACGUAUCCAGAUGCACAUCGCACAGAUCAUUAUCCACACAGAAUUGAUUUAAUGUGACCUGAAUUUCAGGGAAAUGACAGAUGUGUGGUGAGAACCAUCAACAUGGAGCUGGAAACACGACUCGUUAUUAAGAAACUGCCAUAAAGUGUAUGUUAGAGGUGUGAUGUGUCAGCUGAGUGAGUGUGUGUUUGUGUGUGUGUGUGCUGGUUUAUGUGUGUGUCCCACUGGUAUGAAAGGUGCUGCUGUCAGCUGCCUUCUCUGCUCCUCUGGUAAUGGAUUUGACCCUGUGUUUUGUGUGUGUGUGUGUGUGUGUGUGUGUGUGUGUGUGUGUGUGUGUGUGUGUGUGUGUGUGUGUGUGUGUGUGUGUGUGUGUGUGUGUGUGUGUGUGUGUGUGUACAAGAAAGGCUAAAAGCAAAUUCACACCACUGCAAUGUGAUCUGAGGUGUGAAAGUGGGAACUUCCGGACAUUACAGUGACCAGGUGAGAACAGGGGCACACUGUAACCAUACCAUGGGUGUGGUAAGUGGGGGGGUGGACCUGAUUACCCAGGGCCCGGGUAGGGAGAGGGGCCCAUGAAAAUCCAGAUUUUUUUUUUUUUUGGAGGCACAAAAGGCACAAAAUGGUUUAGUCCGCCCGACAACGACCAGUGCCAAGUGUAACGUCACUGAGCCUAGUCUGAAUGACCUGGGGGUCAUGCUGCCCAAAAAGCAUAAAUCGGGGAAUCAGAAGAAGAAAGAAAAAGAAACAGGACAGAAGGAGGGGAGGCAGUUUUGACUGCUUAUCUCCCAAAGGUGAACCCAGUUUCUUUGUUCUAAUCAGACGGCGGUCCCUUUUACAACGCAGACGUUUCCUAUUUUCAGAGGUGACAAUAACGACAGUCCAAGUCAGAUUACACCACAUUCCUCUCCUCAUUCCUCUUGUUUAGAAUCAUCUAGACGUCUAGAGAGGGAUAGAGAAGGAGAGAGAGUGUGUUUAUAUGUGGUGUAUAUUUAAAUAUGUGUGGACAGGCCAGCUGACGGUCUUGUCUAGGCCCGGGAAAAGAUAAUGUUAGAUGCCCUCCCAACCCUUUGUCUUCCUCCUCCUAGUAUAUAGGUAGAUAAUAUACCCUGACACAUCUCCUUUCUUUCCUCACUUGUUUUCUGACUCCUGACACCUGACUAUUGCUUGAUCGCCCUCCUCUCUACAUACAGGAUAUCUGAAUUGGGCAUGUAACGUCAUAAAUUUCAAAAUAAAACACCAUAUGCUAACUCCCGACUGUGUAUCAGUUCGUGUAGAUAAGAAAUACGUCCUGGUUCUGUAUUUAUCAGUAACACAGAACAAUCUGAUGGUCAAUCCCUGAACCAUGUGGACUCCAACAGGACUUUGAACUGCUAACUCUGUCUAAAGGUAACAGCACAGCAUAAAGGAACACAGUUUAUUUUAUUAAACACCAGUAAACCUGCAAAAACCCAAACUGUAAUAUCCAAGGCUUUUUCACAUACAGUAGAAACUUAACAGUCAAUUAUAUCUCAAUUGGCAGGAAACGACCACCAAUUAGAAAGAAUACAAAUAAUAAAACUAAAGUAGCUCAAACAUUAGGCCUUUAUAUCUUUUUUUCCACAAAUAGGACUAUUUUAACAAUCUAAAAAAAAAAAUCCACAGUUUGAUGAGGGCCCAGUUGUGGGUCGCCCUCUGGGCCCCCCUCUUCCCUGGGCCCGGAAAAGCAGACCUGUUUGUCCCCCUCUAUUGGAUAUGAGGAUAAAACAGUGGAAGUGUUUCUGUGAUCCAUGAGGUUUAUAUGAGGUGAAUAAAUGUUGGUUCAGUUGAUCUUCAGGACCACGGCAGCUCUAAUCACCUCUGCUCAUUGGAGUUUGAGAGUCUAAAGUUCACAUCGCUGCUCCUCUUACUGGAAUAUACAAAAUCUUGAUAACCUUUCCCAGAUCUGAUCAGGUCCAAAGUCUUAAGAUGGGUGUAACCAACAUAUACUGAGCUGACUUUAUAUCAGAGUUCAGUUCGGGAAAUUAAACCCAGUCAGUCAUUGACAGCGAGUGUUGAAAUGGCGCAGAGAGGAGUUCAUCUGGACCUUGAAUCUUUCUCUUGUUCCAUCUGUUUGGAUCUACUGAAGGAUCCGGUGACUGUUUCCUGUGGACACAGCUUCUGCAUGAGCUGUAUUCAAACCCACUGGGAUACUGAGGAUGUGAGGAUGAUCUACAGCUGUCCUCAGUGCAGACGGAAAUUCAGACGAAGGCCUGUCCUGUUGAAAAGCACCAUGUUAGCAGGUGUAGUGGAGGAAGUGAAGAAGAGUGGACUCCAAGCUGCUCCUGAUGAUCCCUCUGUUGCUGGACCGGAAGAUGUGGCCUGUGAUUUCUGCAGUGGGAGAAAACUGAAAGCUGUCAAGUCCUGUCUGCAAUGUCUGGUUUCUUACUGCCAGAUUCACCUCCAGCCUCAUUUUGAAUCACCUUCAUUUAAGAAACACAAGCUGGUGGAGCCCUCCAAGAAGCUCCAAGAGAACAUCUGCUCUCAUCAUGGUGAGGUGAUGAAGAUCUUCUGCCGCACUGAUCAGAAGUCUAUCUGUUCUCUCUGUUGUUUGAGCCAACACAAAGACCACGACACAGUCUCAGCUGAAGCAGAAAGGACUGAGAGGCAGAAAGAUCUGGAGGAGAGUCGAGAAAACAUCCAGCAGAGAAUCCAGGACAGAGAGGAAGAUGUGAAGCUGCUCCAACAGGAAGUGGAGGCUAUCAACGGCUCUGCUGAUAAAGCAGUGAAACACAGCCAGGAGAUCUUCAGCCAGCUGAUCCGUCUCAUGGAGAAACGCCGCUCUGACGUUGAGCAGCAGGUCAGAUCUCAGCAGAAGUGAGUCGAGUCAAAGAGCUUCAGGAGAAGCUGGAGAAGGAGAUCACUGAGCUGAAGAGGAAAGACGCUGAUCUGCAGAAGCUCUCACUCACAGAGGACCACAACCAGUUUCUGCACAGCUACCCCUCACUGUCAGGACCGGGUCAACCUGCAGACUCAUCCAGAAUCAACAUCUGUCCUCAGAGAUACUUUGAGGAGGUGACAGCAGCUGUGUCAGAGGUCAGUGAUAUACUCAAGGAUCUUCUGAGAGAGACGUGGACAAACAUCUCACAGGCAGUGACUGAAGUGGAUGCUUUACUGUCAGAACCAGAACCAGAACCAGAGCCCAAGACCCGAGCUGAUUUCUUAAGAUAUUCACAAAGAAUCACACUGGAUCCAAACACAGCAGACAGACGGAUGUUAUUAUCUAAUGAGAACAGAAGAGCAAGAUUUACAAAACAACGACAGCCUUAUCCUGAUCAUCCGUACAGAUUCACUGGUUAUUUUCAGGUCCUGAGUAAAGAGAGUCUGACUGGACGUUGUUACUGGGAGGUGGAGCUGAGAGGGACCGGGGUUGGUGUAGCAGUCGCAUACAAGACUAUCAGCAGAACAGGGUACUCCCGGGAUUGUACAUUUGGAGACAAUGACAAAUCUUGGAAGUUACAAUUUACCAGUGAUGGAUAUCACUUUGCGCACAACAAAGUCUUAACUGUUAUCUUAGGUCCGCAGUCCUCCAGAGUAGGAGUGUACCUGGAUCACAGAGCAGGUAUUCUGUCCUUCUACAGCGUCUCUGAAACCAUGACUCUCCUCCACAGAGUCCAGACCACAUUCACUGAGCCGCUACAUGCUGGACUGAGGUUAGGCUGGUCUUAUGGAACCUCUGUUGAGUUUAUUGAAGUGAAAUAAAGAGAAUUUUGAGUCAAUCAGACCAAAAACAUGUAAUGAGAUCAUUGAACUCUUGAAAUGUUUGUAAAUGUUUGUGGAUCAGUCUCACCAAAAACUCUCGGUUUAUUUCUUCAUUUCAGCUUUCUCUUUCUUUUCUAAAGAUGCUGAUUUGGUUGCAGCUUUAAGGACAGUGAUUGUGGAUAACUUUGAUUGUUUGUAUUUCUCAUUUUGAAAAAUCUUCAUAAAGUUUGAUAUCAACAACAUCAAGAUGAUCAUUUGUUCAAAUCACCUUUAGUUGGUGCAGAUUUUGAAGGUCUGAGACUUUAGAAAAAAGUGACGUCAAAAUAAGGAAAGAAAGAUGAAAAAGGGCAACCUUAUUUCCUGUCCCAAAUCCAACCGUCUAAAGUCUUUCCUGUCGUCCCCAAAAACUCUUUAGAUGAUCUGUUUCUUUCUCUGUUUGCUGAAUAUUUGUAUUCAUGUGAUCGAUGGGUAUUUCUGUCUGCUUCUGUUGGAUCAGUGUGUUUGUAAAGACAUCUAUAAUGAGACUUUUGUCAGAUCAACAUGUUAUGAGCUUUUCAAUCACGAUAAUAAUAAUAAUCACAUUCAUUAGUCCGACUGUUUUUAUGUUUCUGACUCAGCUCAGAUUGUGGUCAAGUCUCUGAUUGUGGGUGAAAACAAUAAAAAUCAUCAAACUGAGUCACUGAAAGUAUCUCGCCUGUUUUUCUUGAUGGUUUAGUGUAACGUCAGUGAGCCCAGACUGAAUGACCUGGGGGUUAGACAACAUGCUGCCCAAAAAGGAUAAAUAGGGGAAUCAGAAGAAGAAAGAGAGGAAAGAAAAAGAAAGAGGGGAGGCAGCUGUUGACUGCUUUCUUUCCCAAAGGUGAACCCAGUUUGUUCUGUAAAGUCCAGUUAAAGUUAACGUAGUCCACUCCAGACAGCUGCUGCUGAUGUUUGUAUGCUAACAUGAAGUCUUUAGCUUAGCUAGCUGCUAACCAGGCUGCUUGCUGCUGUGAGUAUAAAGAGAAUUAUGGGCUAGCUAACGUUAGCUGUCAACAUUAGAGAGAGAGAGAGUUGCUGACUAACUGCGAGUUUUUCCCCUUCAGUUGAAAGUAAGUUCGUCUUUUUGUUCAGUCCGUUUCCUUCAGCCUAUCGUCUACUAACACAGCAGAGCUAAAAGUUAACCUCUGCUGAGACUUAAUAAAUGAUCCACUUAUCAAUAUUAUGCUGCAUAUAUCAACAUGUCACUAACCUACCAAUAUCACUGUAGGCUCAAGUUCAUACUAGUAAUAUAUUAGCUGAGCAAUAAAGCAGUUAAUUUUUUCUGUCUGGUAAAAAGCCUGAACACUGUAGUGCAGUGCUGUGCUUAAAAGAUAUCAAUAAAUUCAUGAUGUUACCAAAGCCAAUGAAUAAUCAUUUUAAAUAACUGUGUUCAUAAUAUCAAUAAAAAAUAAUUAUGAUUAUGAUUUUUGCAAUAGAGAGACAGAGGUGUAGGUGGUGAGAACAUGGAGAACAUAGAAAAAAUAGCUAUUAGAACUACUCAUCAAUGUUAUCUGAUCUGAUUGUAGCUUUAAACUCUAUUUAUGCUUUUUUAGAGUUUACAGGGCCCAGAAUGUGGUGCUACGCCCCUGACUGUAACCAUGACAACAGCUAUGAGACCUACUGUAUCAUGAUAAUGAGCGAAAACGAUCACAUCAAUAUUGAACUCAGAGUUAAGAAGGAAAACUCUUCCUGGAUGUUAAAUUGAAGUGCUGGUUUCUUUAUUUCUUUGUGGUGUUUUCAUGUUUUUUCUUCUUUUAGUCGCUCGGUGAGGGUAAACCGAGUUUGUCUGCAGUUCAGCAGAAUCAGCAGGGAGCAGCCUGACUCACACAAAGUGGAAGCAAUAACAUUAAUGAUCCUCUAUAAAACGAGAGAAAUGCACUGUUUAUUGUUAGGAUAUUAUUCUGCAGAUAUUUCCAAGGAGGCAGUUCCCACAAUGUCUUCAUGAAAUGUUUAUAGCUCCAAAUCUGUAAAACUACAUGAUGAAAAAAAAAACAUAAAAAGAAAGAGAGUCGACAUUUUCAGACCAAACCUUAUCUUUACAGAUCAUCUGUAUUUGCAUCACAAACCUUGAAAAGCAAAAGCAGAAAUAUAAUUAUUGACCCGAUAACAGCCUCAGAUCAGAUGUUUGUUUUCUCUCGGUGCACCGUGACCUUUUUUGCACCAUCGCCCAGCUGUUCAGUAAUAAACCAUCUGGUACUACUAGGACACGUCAGCCUGGGGUUAAAGGGCAUUUGUGAGGUAUGUAAACAUUGUUUUAACCUGCUGUCUUGCAGUGCAAACAACCAUCAAACCAAACAAUUAAAGGUCAAGUCAGAGCAUCAGCCUGCUAAUAUCAUAAACAUUUAGACGAGCAUUAAUCACAUCAUAAAAGGUGCAUUUUUUAUUAUUCACCUUUAAUUGAACAAUUUUAUCAACAUGGACGACCUCAUUGAGUGUAUUAACUACAGUAGAUAUCAGUCAGCUCUGUCUUUUAAGAAAGUGACCACAUGCAGGCUAGGCUACAGUGUUAAUAUGGUGACAUGUAACUCCUAUGACCCCACUUCAAUUAUGGGCUUUGUGAAAUUUUUUUGUUUGUUUUUACCAGGACUGAGUCUUGGCUUUAUGGGAGGAUGCUUCUUGUAAGAGAACUUUUUCAACCAGCCCAUAUUAUAGCCCUUUUCAGCAGGUUAACAUCGGUCUCAGAGGUCCCAGAACAGUCAAUUUGAAGCUUGUUGUCUAAACCCAUUUGUUUCCUGGAGUUCAGCCAGCCUGAAAACUCUCUCUAGUGAGCUCUACCGAGAACACGCUGUUUCUAUGGGCUGCGCCUGUCCACGCCUCCUUCAGCGCAAGCCACGCCCCUCCCUGUCUCUCUGGAAGAGAGGGGUCUUGGCUUGCCAUGACUUUGGUACCAUGAGCUAAUGUUUACACAGAGUGUGAAUGCUAGUGCUAGCCGUACCAGUUGAUCCAGAGUCUAACCCAGAAGGACGUUUCUGAAUGGUUAGUUACAAAUAUUAUGUGUCUCCAUAUUUUUCUUCUUUCUUUGUCCGUGUGUUGGUACACAGUGACUUACAUGUAGCUAGGUAACAUUAGCUCCUGCUAACGGUUCCAUCUCUGCUGUCUUCUCGUUACUUAGAGCUCUUUUUGGUGAAUGCGCAAUACUGUAAGUAUCGUUAUCUCUCAUGACGAUGUUCUUGCAGUCUACGGAAACAGACGUCUGUGCUGCUUCGUCCAGCCAACAACAGAGCAACUGCAGUACCUUGCUCGCGUUCCUUCGCCAUUCUGCGAGGGAGAAAAAUAGUGUCUGAGUGGAAACUUCUGGGGGGCAGAACAAACAUCUUGGGCAGGGGGGUCACCAACCUGGAAGGGAAGACUUAUCGCUGUCCAUGGCAUCACGGACGGUGUGAUAGUUUCAAUCCACUAGUGGAACAAGCAAGAGAGGGAGAGGAUAGAGUUUUUGUAGACAGGCUGCAGAUGCAUAUUAUUGUUAGAAAACCAUUCAAAGGUGAAUUUUGCAUAAUAUGGGACCUUUAAGUCUGGUUUACUCCUCUGUGUCGAACCUAUAACAUGGAAAUAUCUACCAUCGUCAUAUCGCUGUGUUCCAGUCAUGGAAACCAUGGCAACAGAAGAUGAACCUGAUAUAUUUGAGUUAGAUGUUGUCCAGCAGUUGAUUGUGCUUUAACGCUUGAAGGUGGAUGUUGAAGGACACAGACUAUAUGUCUGAUGAGGAGGAGGACAUCAGCAAUACUAGAAAUGUCUGAUGUCAAGCAGUUACACGGGUUUCUGCGAAGGGUACUAACUACGUGUAAUAUGAACUCUGAUGGUUAAGAUAAAAAUUGCUUGCAUUAGGUAAAGUUUGCAGAACAGAAUGAAGAGCAGAGAUUUAUGUUAGGAGGUUUCUCCAUCAAAGACCGUCCUGUUUAAUCAAGGUUAUAAAGAAAGGUCCUGUUGGUGUCUGAUCUGAACUGAAGGUGGUAAAAAAGCAGCAGUGACAUGAGGAUGUUCGCCUCUCUGCCUCUCUGCCUCUCUGCCUCUCUCUGCAGCAGCUCCGAGCUCUGUCAAACCUCUUCAUUGAACUGAGGGCAGUUUCACCUGACAGUCAGACGGUGUGGCUGCAGAGAACCUGCUGCUCGCUGACAGACUGCAGGCAGAAACCCGCCACGCCGAACAAACAAGAUGUGAACCUGAAAACUGCCCGGACAGCUGGGCUUUUCUAAUGAGGGUUUAAUAAUUGUAAACAUGCAAUUAAACCAAACAGCACUGAGCGGACAAACACUGGCUGCCAAUGUAUGGUCUUCAUUUCAUUCUUCUUUCGCAUGAGGCAGCAUCUGAAGUUUAAGGCACUCUCCCUCCUAGUGGUUGGGUAGUGUAACUACAGCUUGAAAUCUGCCAAUCUCACUCUGAAUUAGCGCUGAGUGAUAUGGGGAAAAGUUCAUCUCAAUAUAUUUUUUUCAUAUCAGUUGAUAUCGUUGUAAAUCACGAUAUAAAAAAUGAAAUUUCAUAGUGCUUUUUGGUAGCAUGUCUUUGUGUCUCUUCGACAUUUUGUUGUGUUGUGCGCCAGCGAAAGCAGACUGAAUGGUCGGCUGUUUCGGCUGCACAGGCGCCAUGGGCACCUUACUCCACUCAGGGUUUGAAACCUUUUGCAUUGUGCGUGGCGCUGCUUCAGGUGGUGAAAAAGAUCUGAGGUAUUCCCGACUUUGAGAACAUGUACUGUAUGCCAAUGUUGUCAACGAUGUCAGGGUCUGCAUUUCUGUAGGGGUAGCACACAUUUUCUUUUUUUCUGUGCUGUCUGCUUCACGUGUUUAAGUGCUAUGGUUGCGUGUAGCUGCAGCCCACUUUUACGCAGUUGUUUGCUACUUGGUUCUAAUUCAGCACAAUUGGUUCAGCCCGAAGCGAACCUGGAGCAACUCCUCUUUACAUUGGCUAUUUGUAUAGUCUACCAAAACAUGUCAGAAUGCCGACUAUCAAAAAGGAUAUUGACCAUGUUUUAUAUCGAUAUCGAGGGCAAUUAAUUUUCGAUAUAUAUCGUUCUUGUUUUAUCGCCCAGUCCUACUCUGAAUCAUCUUGUCCCGUUGGAGUCACUAAUACUCAGUCUUUUCUGGAAGUUCUUGAGCUCCAUCAUCCUGCAGCUUCCUCUGAAAUGGAUCUUUGAGGAACCGUUUUGAUUCUGAAAACCUGGGUGUAAGGAUGCCUAGCCCAGGUUCACACUUGAAAGAAUAGACGGUUCACACAAAUGGUCAGUUUGACAAGCUUUACUGGUUGCAGAUCUGGGUUACAGCUUCAUCAUACCACAAGUGUAACCAAGACUGGUCUGAGACUGUUCAAGUAUAUCAGUUGUUCACAUUUUGAAGCAUUCUGCUGGCAUUUAGUUGACCUGAAGAAGAGUCCAUGUAGGGUGAGAACAAAGGACAACAUAUUUUAAGGAGCCUUAGGUAUGGGGCAAAUAUGGGGAGCCCAUAUAGGGGAAUACCAUAGCAUUUGUUGAGGAUGGUUGUCGGAGGCCCCCGGCUCCAGCAGUCUAACACCAACGUAUCCAGGGUAUCUGAGUUGCAUGGCUCCAUCACCCUAAAGGCUGAUGGGAUGGGCUGAAGAAAAUUCUCCUAACACUGGGUCUCUUUUUUGCAACCAUUGAAUACAGCAUGUAUUAGCUUAUAGGGCCAGUGUCGAGCUUGUUGUUUGAGCCAGUUUAAUCCUGAACAGUGCUGGAUAAAGAACUGUGUGAAUUACCCUCAAAUAAUCAUGAUUUUUACUGACUUCCAGAGGAGGAUUCUCAGUUAACUCCUGUGCAGAAACUUCAAACAACACUAACUCAGCCUGUAUUUUCUCUGCGUAUUUAACACACCAUCAUGAAGCGAGAGCAGCAGAUGAUUCAGCAGACAACAGACGUCCACUUUAAUUAACAGUUUCUGCACAAACAGCGCAGGAGGUCCGCUCACCGGCUCGUCCGCUCCUGCUGUUUGUGUUCCUGGACGUCAGGCUGAUCUCUGCAGACAGUUAGCUGCACAGCAAGAGGAGACAGACCGAAGACAGAGGAGUCUGCACGCUGCUCUGUUGACUCCUGGAGGUUCAGUGUAGAGACAAAACCUCAUCAUGGAGCAUGGUCUCAUGAACUGAGAGCGUCACAGAUCGACUGUCACCAAAGAAACCCACAAUUUGGUUGAUUUAUUCAUUUUUUCCUGAGGAUAAACUGAUAAAUUUUGUUAUCUUCUGCUUUUUAGUUGGUCUACUUUAGAGUGUUUCUGUGUGGUCGCGUGACGCUGACCCUGCCCCCUUUUGUGCACAAAUGAGGUCAGCUGAUCUCCGUCCUCUCCUGUGACCCAGGAGACGACUAAGAACCGAAUCAGUCAAACAUUUACAGUGAGGUGACAGCUGCCUUCAUCAACUCCAACACUCACUAUCACUCAGUGUGUGUGUGUGUGUGUGUGUGUGUGUGCGUUGGCAGGAGCUCGGUCUUGUCUCCAGAGUGUUUGUAAAUGGGACAAUUACCCCAGUCUGCUCCUGUGACUCUGGAUACACACAACACAAGUGUGUGUGUGUUUCUGUGUGUGUACAUACUCUACAUGUGUAAUAGCAUGAGCAGCUGCCAAAACGAGUGUGUGUCUUUCUCAUUUAUUGUAUUUCUUGGCAGAGUGUGUGUGUUUUGGCAGAAGAUGUAUGACUCAGUGUAAGUGUGUGUGUGUGAGACGGGGAACAGAUGGGGGGGUUGUCCAUCAGCUGUUUAUUGUGCUGAGUCCUCACUUUUUCAUAAUGAAUGGACCUGGAGGACACACACACACACACACACACACACACACACACACACACACACACACACACACACACACACACACACACACACACACACACACACACACACACUGUUGUAGGUAGUACUGUGUUUUCUUUAUCUAGUAAAUAAACAAUAUGACAGUAUUUUAACACUCGGUAUCAAACUGCAGUAACAGUACUCCAAUAUGAAAGAGAUAAUAAUUCAGAUCUUUAGAGGGACUAUAAUCUACUGCAGACCUCUUAUAUUUCACUAAGACCACCAAACCUUCCUGUUUCACAUUCAUAACUCGGUCCCUCGUGACUUGCUCUUUUCCUCUUCUCUGUGAUAUUAACAAAGGUCUCUGUCCAAGCUCUGAGAGUGUAUCUUUGUUUGGGAGUAUAUAAAGGUUCAUAAGUACAUUUUUUGAGAUGAAUCAAAACAAUUGACAUGCCUGCUUUUGUUCCCUUUAACUGUCUUCACACACCAAGCGUGAGUAAAAUCAUUUGCGCCAAUGAGUUACAUGUUAAGUCAAUGCAAAGACGUGAUUAGACGCUCCUAGUACUCUGGCGGCACAAAUUGGGCAGGAGCUGAAAAUGUCUGAACCUGAGUGGAUAUUCGUGUCGCGGUAACCAAUUGGCACAAAGGUUGCAGGGUGACGUAUGAAAAUGGAGGGUUGUUCACUGGUAUCUAAAAUGGAGGACAAACUGAUCGUGUCAGUGUGUGGGUGCCCGAAUUGUUUGAUACCUUUUCUUUCAAUUAUCGAAACCGGAAUAAAAAGGAGCUCGCCUGGAGGAAAGUGAGUGGGGAGAUCGGAUUACCUGGUAAAUUGUAAAAAAUCUUUGUCAUUGGCGCGCGAAUGAAGCGAGUAAAUACUAUCCAUUCAAGCGUCUAGAUUUGGGUGAAUUAAGCGGGUAGAUGAUUUUACUCGCGCUUGGUGUGAGCGCCCGUAAGCGUCAGGUCAGCUUUGAGGCUGGUGGGUGUUACUAUUAACACAGCAGGUGUAACUCCCCUCCUUCUUCUAAGUCUUUAAAAUCCAGAAAACAGGUCUUAAGGUCGUUACACACUGGUGAAUUAGCGAUGCAAAAUAUUCAGCUUACGUCUUUUCCUAUACACACCUGGUGAGAGGCAAAUAUAAUUUGAUAUUAGCAUAAAAAUACGCCACGGGAGAAGAGACUGAGAGAGAAGAAGGAGUAACAAUGGUGACUACAUCCUCAAGUAAUGAUGACCUGGUUAUGGUUGUAAGACAAAUAAAUAACAAAAGAAAAAGAAGAAUCCAAGUGUCUGGGUACAUCCAAUACUGACUUUGCGACUGGAGAUGGGGGGGGCUCCACACAACGAUCCAGGGGCUCAAAUUGUAUCCCGAGAAAUUCCGACAAUACUUCAGAAUGUCCCUCGGACAAUUUCAAGAACUGCUCCAUCAGCUGACUCCACAUUUGCAGGAGAGGACAAAUUACGGAGAGCUGAUUGAUCCAGAGCAACGGCUCGCCACAUGUCUGAGGUAAGAUUGAUAUUAGGCUUUAGAUUUAUACAACAGUUCGUCUGCAAAUGUUCGCCAAAUUCACUUCAGAGGCGAAAAAAUUAGUAAUUUUUUUUCGCUCUGCGGAAGUUCAUAGCUGUUGUGGAAGCUUGCAUUGACUUUAUGAGGUUUUAAAAAAAAAAUUAAUUAUUCGCUUCGCAAACUCACUUUGCUAAUUCACCAGUGUGUAACGACCUUUAACCACUGUAUGAGUUACGUCAGUGGAUAUUUUGUUAAAUCUCCUAAAAUGAUCCCUGUGAACAGCAGAAAUGAAAGUGAAAUAUUGGAGAGUGCGCAUGAUGGAGAGUCAGACUUGAGGUAAAGCUGGUGGGUGAUACUUCCUAAUGCCUUUGAAUGCUGCUGUGCAUCUCUGUCAAAGUGUAAAAAACAAAUAAAUAUAUGUUGUGAUCUCUUGAGCCGCUAAUGUGGCCUCUUCCUAUCAAAUAUUUGUUUGUUAUAAUCUGAAUCUUGCCAAAGUAUGUAAAUAAAGUUUUCAGAUUUUUGUGGCUCAGUCAGAAGUUAAAUGUCCCUCUGAGAUUCAGCAGUUGUCAGAAAGUGUAAAUUCUCCUGUAAUUUUUAACCGUAAUUGAGGAAACGCAGCUGGUCCUCUCCUCAGUUUACAUUACGCGGUCACACGAACUCGUGUUUCCCUUCAUAAACUUGACUGUCACCUCCCGAAAUAAAACAUUUGGAUCUAUUUUAACCGAAGCUCAGCUCUUUAAUCAGGAACAAAAACCUUUAAACAACAAAACAAAUCUGCUGUCCGUCUUUUCAAGCGGCGGCCUCGUUUCCAGCCGUCUCUUCUCCUGCAGAGCCUUUGACGAUCAAUCUCACACAAACACACUCUCGCUCAGUGACACCCGCUCGCAAGCAAUCAGAUUUUCAGAUGUCUAAAUCAAGCUCUGUUUCAAAGAGUCUUUUUUUUCUAAAAUAAGAGAAGCUGAGCGGCUUUCAGGUGCUGCAGCUCUGAGGACUGAAAACUCUUCAGGGGAGAUUCAGAGCUCGCCUCCAGAGAGAUCGCCAUCUGUGAACAUAUGUGUGUCUAUGAAUGGAAAAGCUGGGUGCUUCUGGUGAAGUUAAGAUGUAUGGUGAUGAAUUACUUUAUCCCACAGACUAAGCAGUAGUUCGGAAUUAGAUCUGUUGUCACUUUGGAUCAGAAAAAUGUGUUACAACUUAAGGGGAUGUAAAUGAUGUUCCACCUCUUGGAUGAAGCCAUCUUUACGGAUCAUUUCAGAAUGCCAUUAAUCCGCUUGACUACUACUUGAUUGUUAAUCAGUGUUUAAUUAUCUUCCUGUAUCGUGUUUUCCAUCAGAUAAGUCCACAAUGUAUAGUUUCCAUGCAGCUGUGUAGCUCUUUCAAGCAUCAUCUGUUUUUACCAUGUGGAAUUUGCAAUCUUGCCCACUCCAAGCGCAACUUUCAGUCUUAGGAAAUGAAGCUGAUGUUGAAGUGUAAAAAACUGCAGUCCCGAACCUGAAUUUGCGGGCUCUUUUGAGUUCUCGCGAUUCUCACUGUCUGAAAUUUUGCCACAGAGUUCGCCUCAGAAGCACAUCUGGUAGGAAUUGGCAGACGGUGAAAAUCGACACCGUUUCGCUGUGGUGCCGUGGUGGAAAUUUGGGGUUAGGUUGCAAUCAAUACAGCUAUAGGGUUUCUGCUUGUAUACAAACAUACUUGCAGAAACUUUACACUCUGUGAUACGUUAGCAAAUUAAUACAGACGACUUUAUAUCAACACGCCUGAAGGAAGGGGGGGACAUAAUCACAAGACUGAUGGAUCUGUGUUUCUUUUGCAACAUCUGAAGCCAAAAUCACACAAAAAAGAAGAGAUGCAACUGUUAUAUAAGCCAGACGGCGAGUUUAGAGAGAGGCGGUGUCGUCUUCAGAGCCUCUUCAAACAUAUGAAGUGUGAUAUUUGCUUUAAUAAAACAGACCUGACUUGAAAAGCAAAGGCUAAUGUUAUUAAAGUCAUUCUCCCCAAAGACCGUCACGGCUAAUUUCUCUAAUUUUUGCGGGAAAAAAUCCUCCGAAUGUGCAGAGACCGCCUUCAUCUAUCAGAGGGGCGACUGUCGACCACGAUUAACCCACACAUCUCUGCUUUCAGGGCCUGCGAAUCUGCCGCCAGAUUCUGGCUUUUAACAAAAUUACAGAGGCUUGUGUAACCACGGCAGAGGUUUUCUCUAGUGGAAGAUUUGUGUUCAUGAAUUAUUUAUUUUUAGUUGUUUUUCCACAUGCAGAGUGUCUGCAAAGCUCCGAAGGAACACAGGCAACAAUGUCACACACCACUUUCAGUGUUUCUCUCCUUUUCUACCAGAAUCCAAACUGAGCAGUCGUCGGUUGAAGAGUGUUUUGCAGAGCAUAAAGGCGACUAAUGGUUCGGUAAUGCCUCUCGGAGCUGCUAUUGUCGCUUCAUGAGUCACGAAAAUCAACAAGCAGGAGAGAAAAGUGUCACCAGAAGGACACAAACAGAAGUCAGAGGCAGUUAUUGAAGUUAUAAAAGAGGAGGAAAAGGAUUUAAAGACGGCUCUGUGGGUUUGUUUUUCUGUCUCAGAGUGAUUAAGAACGUCCAAACAAAGGAGAAAGAGAGAAAGGAGGGAGACAGAUGGGAGGAUGAGAGGCGAACAGAUAAAAAACAAAAGAAGGAGAGAGAGAAGUGUGCAGCAGAAGGUUCAGAUAAACAGGCGGUAAGCAGGUUAAUGAGGCGACAUUAAACAGAAUGACAGAGUGAGGACGGUAAUUAACACCUUCACAGGCUGACCUGAGAUCUGCAGGUAGAGCUCAUCCAUUACAUAACGCACACAAACACAAAGUCAGCUUACUUUAAACUUUAAUGAUCAGGAACCAGAAACGGAGAACGUCUUUGUUCUGCAGCUCUGAGCCGCCGAUGUUUUCGGUGAGGACGGAGUUUGAGUUUGUGCUCCACGAAUGAUUGUUUUUAAGAGAAAUGGAUAAAUAAAGACAGCGGGCAUCCAGUUCAUCAGUCAAUACAGUAUUGAAACUCUCCAACUCUCUAAUAACAGCAGGUACCAAUUAAUUAAUGUUCAACCUUGUCAGAAAAUCAGAGUUCGGUGAGCUACAAAGCCGCACAGCCUGAUGGCUUGUUGGAGCACUGCAGCUACCAUAGCCUUGUAGAGUUAUUGAAUGAGUUAAAUAAAGUUUGACUUAUCUUACUGUUUUGUUUGGCUUAAUGCGCUUUGUAAUCCGAUGCGGCUUAUUUAUGAAAAAAGACGUGAAUAGACGCGUUCAUUGAUGGUGCGCUUGAUGGUCAGGUGCGCCUUAUAGUGUGAAAAAUACGGUAAUUUUGCACUUAGUUUUCUCAUACGCCCAGUAGCAUCAGAAAAAUGAUGUAUAAACAUGUAGACAAGAAAAACAUGAUUUUCGUUGGAGUGUGUCUAUGUAUCUACUGAACUUUGAUGAAAGGUGAUUUUUUUGACGGUUAAAUUAUUUAUAAAAUAUUUCAAAAACCUGUUUAUAGAGAUUCUGUCUGCAUGAGUGUUUGUGUGUCUCACUUUCAUUUCCUCUUCCAGUUUCCUGAUCACUGCUGAGUCUCAGGAACAAACCUGCGGGCCACAUCAAUCACUGUCAGACCUCCAUGACCGCUGACCUUUGACAUCAUUGUUUCGGCCCUGUAUGACCUCUGUGUGCGGGAUAAUUCUGGAUAAAAGCUGACGAUGCAACAUUUACGCUCAGGUAUUCAAAUCUUUUGAUAUUUGUUCACAUGAGGUUUCCAACACAAAGAAAAACAGGGACAGAUGGUACCAACGCUAAAAUAAUAACGAAAUGAAAAUACGUCCCAGACAUGCACCACUUGAUUGAUUUUAAGAUAAGUUUCUGGUGAGCUCAAGAUGAAAAAAUAACACGUCCCUCUAACGCUGAAAGAUCUUCAACGCAACAUAAUUGAACAUUUGGAAAGUGUCUGUUUUGCAGAGUAGUUCAUUGCAGAUUUUAUCUUUUCUGUCGUAUUUCAGUAUUUUUGAUCAGAUGUGACACAAAUUAAAGUUUAACUCUUUAAUAUUGUCAAAAUGACUUUAUUUUGUAUUUUCAUAGCAAACAAUGAUUUCAGUGGUUUUAAAUUAAAACAAUGUCUUUAUUUACUUUGAGAUAAACACAAGUAUAUUCGAGAAACCCUCAUACUCUUUAUGAAAUCUUUGGACCUGAUCUGUGAAAGGAUUGUGUCGCUUUUGUCUUAUUUAGACAGUGCAUGCAAAGAGUUAAAAUCAUCUUAAACUGUGCGGCAAAUAAAGUGUGCACUGGAGCUGUUUGCAUUAAUUCGAAGGAGCUAUUUUGGAUCAUUUUUGUGCAAAAAAACAAACAAAAAGUGACAAUAAAGCUUCAUGACGUCUAAAUAUCAGGACAAUUCAACAAAAAUCUCUAAAAGUUCUGCAGUUCUGUGCCGUUAACUCCAGUUUUGUAUUAUUAGAUGUUUUGUGAGAUAAACCGUCAGCAUCUCAACUCUCUGCUGCACAGAGCUGCACUGUGCACGCUCAUCCUGAUAGACCUGAAUCCUGUUAAUGCAGAUAUGUUGCACUGAAUGAAGAGGGAAAGUCCAACACAGAACAAAACUUCUUCAUCGUGAGAGCAGACAGCAGAGGGUAGAGAUGCUGAUGGUUUAUUCCUGCACACAAGAAACAAGAGCAAACUGCACAAAGCCGCAUUUUUGUGCUUAAAUAUCGUCAGGGAAAUUCUGGACCAUGAGCUGGAGCAGGUGGUGAUGCAUAAUUUUUGAUGCUAACAAUAUUUGUGAAGUCAUCAAGUCUGUAACACCAGAGGUAGAAAGUUGCAUGAGAAGAGGAUAGCCAAGCACAGCAAAAGUACUUUCAGUCCAAACUUGAGUAGCUGAGAAGUUGUGUAAAAGUACAGCGACACUGUCAGGUAUUUUCUCUGAUUGUUAAACAUUUCCAACAUUUCUCAUCCUGUCAAAUAUAAAAUCAGACGUGUCGCUGAAACAGCAGACUGUAUAUUUACACUCUGACUUCAAUCUUUGUGUUUUAUGGCUCCGACUCGCCUCUCUUUGAGCUGUCAAAAUCCACCGAUAGUCCUAACUCCCACACACCCUGAAUGCAGCGUGCAGCUGUCACUGAUGGCAGCACAGUCCCUCCCUCUGUUAACAAAUGUCUUUCACAUUUAUAUGUCUGGAUGUUCUUUUUUUUACUGUUGGCAGUUUGAUAAUUUUGCUCAUUUUGGAGGCGGCUGUAGCGGAUAAAUUAUUCUUACUCUUCAGUCUUUUGACAAGAAUUAAAAUAAUGUAUCACUGACUUAAUUAUCUGGACUCAUAGCUAUUGUCAGGUUGAUUAUAUAUCAUGUAUUUAAGCUUCCUUAACCCCACUGCUCCCAGUAAUUUUCCACUCACCCCUUCUCUGUGGCCACUCCCACUUCAUUAGUCUACUCAGCUCACCUGUGCACUUUCUCUUGCAUGCUCUCUUGUAGUCCUGUAAACUACCUAAACCCUUUAGUCCCUGAACACAACUCCUGCUACAGCGCUCUUGGUUUCCUCAAACUUUCGCGUGACUCAGACUCGUCACCUUUUCCAACCUGAACCAGAAAAUCCUCAUCCAAACAGAUGCUGUUGUUUGAAGCCACUUGUCUCGAACUGGAUCUCUACAGAGGAAACUUUCAGGGAGGAAAUGUGUCCAAGUAAGGAUGUCGAAGAGAAACCAGUGAUUGACAUGGUCAUUAUUGAUCUUUAUUCAUAUUUAUCGUUGUCAAAAUGUGUGUAAAGCAGCUCUUUGGGAUUUUUCCAGUAGCUUUCAUGAACUUGUGUGUUUGUGUUAAAGUCUAAAUAUGUGGUUAAAAGUUUCCAAAAGUCCAUGUUUGAUAGGCAGAGUCCAUUAAAACUGAUACUUGUUUUUUUUUUAAUGAAAUAUCAAUCGAUGAUCUUCAUGGUUGAAACAUUGGUGCAACUUCUUCAACUUUGUCAACUUUUUCACAAAUUAAUCUGUGCUGUUUGCUUAACUUAACUAAACCAAAGAAAGUCUGGACCCUCAUACGUACUCAAAUAGCUACUUAAAGUCCUUGUUGACGAUCUAAGAAGUAGUUGAAAAAAAACUGAGCCGUUGAGGCAGAUUUAAAAAAAGCGUCCCACCCCCCCACACACAAACCUCCCCCCUCUGUGCUCCACGAUAACUCCCCCCAGAACCUGUAUCGUCCUCCCCAAGACACACCCCCUCUGGCAGAGAAAGAAGCCGGCCGGCAGAAGAUCCUACACUAGCUUCAAAAAGGAUUCACCAUGUCGGAUUGUUAGUGACUAGCGGCAGUAAACGCCAGCUUUGCUAGCGAGCGCCGUCUGCAGCUGCCUGGACAGCUAACAUAUUGACAUUGCAGCGACUAGUAAGAGUUAUUUAUGUAAUAUGUGUUACGAUAAAAGGAGAUAAAAAUUACCUGUUCAACAAAAACUCUGCUGUCUCGGCGUCUGUUUUCAGGCCCAAAUUAUUCCAAUUAGAUUCCUCGUUUGGUCACAUUUCCUCUUCGUCUCCGCCCUUUCUUCUGUCGGCUUGCAUUUUUGCUGAUGGGGCGAGCUGAAGUGUUUUAUUUUGCGUCCUUCUCCAUCACGUCUCCCGUAGCUAAGCUGCUACGCUACUUUUAGCCGCUCAGAGCUCCAAGGAGGGCCAGGAGAGAGGGAGGGGACGAGUUUGAACUACGGGAGAGGGGUGUGUCGAAUACAGCGAGGUGAUUGGAUGGAGAGGUGGAGCAGGAGAUUGACCAAUAGGAGCUGUUCGGAAUGGAUGGCUCCCAUUGGUCAAUGUUUUCACAGCCCUGCACCUGCGAGGGUGAAUGGAUGUUUUUCCGUUCUUUUUUCUCUUCACUUUGUGGAGAUCGCACUAUAGGACCAUGAUCGCCAUAGAAACGAGGUUCAUAAAAAUGACCAAUCUCUCCAAUCGUCAACCAUGCCUUUAACUGAUCAGUUUUCCUCCCUGCCUUUAAACUGUUAAAAGUGAAGGAUAAAGUCGCCAUAAACUCAGAAUCUGUUGAUGCCGUGAUGAUCUGUUUUCUGCUGCUUCGUCAAACUCGUCUCUAAUGUUUCUCAAACCUCAAACACCGCUCCUCUGGUAGAAGUUGUACCAGCGUAUAAAAUAAAGAUGUGGAAAGUUCAGGUUAAGAGAACUUAGCGCUGCGGUAUUAGCAGACUUGUUGCAAAUUAUUCAUCACAUUAUGGGAUGAUUUAUUGAUGUGCCGGCCAGGAGAGGAGGAGGUUUAAAAACAGGGAGGGCUGUCCCUCCAUAUUCCUGCUUUUAUUAUUCAUACAAAAGGCCAAAGCGGAGCGGGACAAGGUGUACUCUACCCCAGCACGGCAAGCUGGGUGUGAUUAGGACAUGGUGUAACAAGUACAUUAGAGUUCGUUAUGUGAAGGAUAGUGUUGAGUGAAUGGAUGGUUAAUGCGAACUAGAACCCUGAGUGGGUGAGCUGGAAUAAUUAGGCCUUUGUUACUUUGGUUAGAGGAGGGAAUCAGGACCGGAAUUGUGUAUUUGUAUAUUGUGUAUAUAAUUACAUUGUAUGUAUAGUACCCUGUUCUCCUAAAAACUGGAACUUCCUCAGAUCCUACCUACCCCACCUUUAAUAUAGAAUCUUUCACACAUUUUUGAUGUGUCGUCGCUUUUUUUUCCUUGUUUAAGACGUCUUGUCUUUUUCAGUUUCCUCUGAAUCUUAAUUUGGUUGUACUGAGUUUCCUUGUGAUCUACUUUGGCCUUUUAACAUUCUUUGUUCGACGUUUUUGUGUUUCCACGUAGUUCCUUUGUGUCUCUUUUAGUUUUUCAUUGAUGCAUUAAUAAGGAAUAUUGAGGCUCCAUCCUCGUUGAUCCCUGACCUCUUGGGUGUCUUUUCAGGAAUCUAUAUUCAUGUUUUCCCAGUGGACUAAACCACAGUUCCCUGACACCCUCCCUAAGAUUUGAGCUCAGCUUCCUGUCCUGAAAACAGUUGUUCUGUGACAUGAUGGGAACAAGGUGAGCUGUGUCGCAGCAGAAAUGUUCCUUUAACAUGUGGAGGACGUUGCGUGGGCCGAAGCACGCAGGGACUCACGGCUGAUUAAGCUUUUAGAGCGUGUGGAGCUGCACUCUCGGGGCUCCUUUGUCCAUUAGGCCAUGAGGAGUUAAAUCAGGCAUACGCCCGGCUGCAUGUUCACCUCACUUUAAAACAACAGGAGAUCACAACAAACCUCAUAAAUAUGCAACGCUGGAGAAAACCUCAUUUUAUCCGACCUGCGUUUAGGACAAAGGCGUGAAACCUAAAAACACCUGAUCAGAUUUAUUUAGCUCUUUGAUUAAACAUUAUCAGUUUUUAAAGCACUUAGUUUUCAUGUUGUAAAUAUUUACAAGUCAAGAAAGAAUCCAAACAGGACACACAACGGCAAAUAUUCAAAUGUGUGUGUCUAUCCACCUCAUUUUUAACCAACCCAAAGAACAAACUAGAAUUUACCUCCCGAAUAAAUAAGUGUUUUAAUGGUACCGUAUGAUGGCGUGUUUUAGUUGUUUACAUGUUGGCGAGUGCACCAGAAGAACCGCUGUAGGUACCAGAUGUGUUCGGGCUGCCAGAUUGGCUCAUGGCACUGCGCCUGUUGAUGAUGUCCCGCUAUAUGAUUGGCUGGAAGUUGGUUGGAUGACGUAGAAGAUUGUGGUUGGUACAGACAAAUAAUUAAAACAGUUUUUACGGGGUUAAGUUUGAUGGGAUUGUAGUUCUUCGGAGAAAACAUUGACGAGUUUUACAGAAAAUCUAUCGCUACUUAUCAAAAGGGACUUACGACAGCCGGACUACCGCCUCUUUGUGAAAUAAAAGCAAAACUAUCUAUUGAUAAGUGGAGAUCCUGAAUACAUAUUUUUUUCCCCAUUUCAUUUAGAAAACUCUAAGUUCAGUCAGAUCAGAUCCAGAGGUGUUGACACCAAAGCACAUAUCUACACGACUUUACAUCAUUGGCUAUUCAUGGGUGGGGAUUUGUGCUGAUUGCUGACUAGCAGCGGCGCCAUGUCAACUCAUGAUUGAUUGACAGUCAUGAACAUAUACUCAUGAUCAAAUUUGCCAUGUUCAUGGAUCUGGUGGUUUCCAUCAUAUAUCAGUGGAGAGGAUCCAUAAAUCAUGAUUAUAUGCUUGUGCUCCAGAUGGUAAAACUCGAAACCUCCAAAAUCAGCUGAAGCACUUCCGUCCCAGUCUGAUGUUGGCGCUGAAGACCAGCAGAGAAAGUCUUAAAUCUUUGUAAUGUGUUUGUACCGACUCUACAUUAUGCAAAUGAGCGACACCAAAGAAGAAGAAACAGCUUGAGAACCUCUUUGCUGACAAACAGGAUUAAACUGCAGGAUUUGUUUGGGCUAAAGUUUAGCCUGACAAGCACUCUUCAAACAGAGAGCUCAGACUGAAGGUUUUUUGGCCCGUACUGAAACAAACUUCCUCGCUCAUGGUGGAGCAGCAGGUGAUCCAUGCCGAGUCAAAAACUGAUGAGAUAUGAAGAAAGGUAGAGUUGUUUAGAAGUGAGAACAGCAGGCGAUCUUUUUAAUAACGCUUCACAGAUGAUUUUCCUCGCUCUCUUUCUUCAUCACUCUGUCUGUUAUUUCAGACUUCACUCAGAAUAUUUAAAGAGACAUAGAGAUCGGUCUUUUCAAACUAAGUAUUAUCUGGCCGAAGGUGAGGGUGCGUGAACUCCUGACUUCUCACCAUGAUUCCAGACUAAUUAUAAAUUUAUAUUUGGAGGUAUUUUAUAGAUUGUGAGGCUUUUGCUCCUGCAGCUGAGCAUCCUCGGGUCAUCAAAGUUACUUGAUCAUUUUAUACAUAAACUUUUAAGGCUUAUGGGGACUGAACCUUCAGUACUUGGAGGUCUGAGAUCACAACCAUGACUCUGAAAACUAUCUUCUUCAAAUCUGCAACACACUCCUACACACAAGUCAGUGUAACCCUGCACUAGGGCUGCUAAAUUAUGGGUAAACACAAUUUGAUGUGCACGGAUAAAAAGCCAAGGCAGGAAGAGCAGCAGCAAAGACCCAAUAAGAGUUAAAGGGAUAUUCCGGUGUAAAAUUAAUUUAGGGUCAAACACACGGUAACACCAAGUUAGACUCCCCCUCCAGAGAUGAAUUUUGUCGACCGCUUGCUUCUCUAGUUAUACCAACUUUAGUAACAACCGCACAAUAGCAAUACAGAGAGCCACGCGCUCAACCAAUAUCUCUUUUAAGGUAGGGUGCUAAUCUGAGAGCUCCAUGCUCUUCUGAGUGCAUGUUUGGAGAGCACACCUUUCCUCUGUUUGAUUUGCAAGGUGGAGGAGCAGCAGGAAAGACCCCCUAGGUCCAGAUAAGACAAAGCAUUAGUGACAUUAUGACUGUAAUAAAUCUUGGAGUUGGGAUGAUGGAGGUGGGUUGGAAAGCAGCUGCAGAAGGAGUAGAAGGAGCAGACAGUCUAAAUAAACAGGAUGAUCGUCCUGACAUCGUCCGGUUGGAUGGUUGGUAGUUCGCCUGUGGCGUCACAUCUCAGCAGUGAGUUUAAAUAGGAGUUUAAAUCUUAUUAAAAAGAUGACUGUAUGGCCGAGACAAUAAAACUGACUGAUUUUAGUUUUUAAAUGAUAACUCCAGAUGAAAAUAGAUCUUCAUCCCUGCGGCUCUUCAUGUCCUAAACCGUGAGGUUUUGUCUGUACCUGGAUUUGUUCUCUGUUUGUCGGGUUUACACACAAUCUUCUGGAGCUGUCUGCGUCUCUUUUGUAGAUUUGUGUGUUUGUCAGAGGGAAAUCUUUGUCUGACGGCUCUCCCUUCAUUACAGCGGCACUUCGAGAUUUGCAUGACUUUAAUCCUCCCCCAUUUUCAGCUGUAAUUCAAUCUGUGGAGCAGCAGCUUUUUGUACAAAGUGGAGUCAAAGCCACAGCGGUGAAUCCCUCCAAGCUUUUCUUCUGCAAUCCAAUUUGAUGUCCUAAUGAUCGCCCCCCCUCAUCUGCGUACUGAGUACUGGAGGGGAGCGCUGCCCCCCCCUGCCAGGAGCCCAAUUUCCAGGUGCUGCUGUGCUGUGAUAGAUUUCCUUGUAGCAAGUCAGAUGUAGCUCAGAGAUGAGCGCUUGCUGCGUUUCUAAACUCAUUUAGCCUUCAGCGUUAGCGUGCUGUUGAACCGUGAAGCAGAAAUACUCUCUUCUGUUGUUUUUGUUUGAUGUUUUUCUACCAAAUCAUGAUCGCAUGUCUUCAAAACCACAGGAAGGACCGAGAGGCUGACUUUACAGCGAAGGCUGGAUCAGAUAAUCCUGUUUGUUUCUGAGUGUAGUGCAGAGAUCUGAUCCCCAGAGUCCUGGGUGGAUCCCUUCUGCGUGGACUCUGUCUGUUGGAGGGGUCCAGGAUUUGGGUACUUUGGUUUCUUCUCACAAUCCAAAGACCUGCUGAUCUGGUUAAAAGGAAAAUCCAAAUGACACAGAGAUGAACAUGAGAGGGAGGGUUAGGAAUACUGAUGGACGGGUGAAUAAAGGUAUGAAUAAACAUAUCAGUGAAUAAGUGAAUAACUGGCAGGAUGGGUGAAAAGAUGAUGGAUAGAUGAUUCAGGAGAUAAAUGGAUGGAUGAAUAGAGAAUGGCUUGAUGGACAAAAACAUGAUAAAUGGUCGGAUGGAUGAGUGAAUGGAUUGAUGGAUAAAAGGAUGAAAGAGUGAUUGUUGUAUGAAUAGAUGGAUGACUGGAUCAAUCGAUGGAUGGAAGUAUGGAUGACAGAUGAAUGGAGGGAUGACUGCUGGAUGAAUGGGUGACUGAUGGAUGAAUGAUGGAUGGAUGGAUGAUUGCUGAAUAAAUGGGGAAAUGGAUGAUUGCUGGAUGAAUGGAUGGAUGAAUGGAUGACAGAUGAAUGGAUGGAUGAAUGGAUGACGGAUGAAUGCAUGGAUGGAUGAUGGAUGUAUGAAUGGAUGGAUGGAUGGAUGACUGCUGGAUGAAUGAAUGAGUGCUGGAUGAAUAGAUAGAUGACUGCUGGAUGAAUGGGUGACUGAUGGGUAAAUGAUGGAUGGAUGACUACUGGAAAAAUGGAUGGAUGGAUGAUUGCUGGAUGAAUGGGUGGAUGGUUGCUGGAUGAAUGGAUUAUGGAUGGAUGAAUGGAUGAUGGACGAAUACAUGGAUGGAUGAUGGAUGGAUGGUUCGAUGGGUGGAUGAAAGGAUGACUGCUGGAUAAAUUAAUGAAUGGAUUGAUGAUUGGUUGGUGAACGGAUAACUGCUGGAUGAAUGGAUGAGUGAUGUCUGGAUGGGUAAAGGAAUGAAGGGAUGGACAGGUAGAUGGAUGGAUGGAUGUACUGAUCAGACUUUUCUUUAUUGAUUAUUAAAAGCUCCUUUAAAUUUCUAAUAGUUUUAAAUUAAGUUUUAGAAAUAUAGAAUUUUGUUCCGUGUUCUAAUUUUCUCUGCAGCUUGUCUGAUUAACUCUUUAAAUGUAGGGUAGAUAUCAGAGUGUUCUGGUCUUAUCUGUGUUUUUAUUGCUAAAGGAAAUGACAGACUGUCAGUAAAGUGACAGAGUGAACUAACCUCGAGUGUCUGUGUUUAAAUCUGAACUGAACUUCAUCCAUCACAGAUGAAUAUCCGGCCUGCUGCACGCCCACUCCGACUCCGACUCUGCGUCAGAUUAAAACAAAGCCAGCUGCUGCUGUUUCUCAGUCAGCCUGAUACACAACAUGAUACUGUUUCUAUUUCGGUGUCAAGUCUGCACGUUCUUUUGUCGGGAGCUUGAAUGAGUCGCUGUGUUUCCGGAUCUCCUUUCAGCAGCAGCAGCUGAGCGGAGCUGAAAGGACGGGCAGACUCCGAAACUAUCGGUCUGUUCGGGGGACAAAAAGAGUUUUCAGACGGAGGAGAAAUGAGUCCAUGUUGAAGAUGUUUAAAGGAGGGAAACUGCUCUCUGUGUUGUUGUGGAUAAUUAGAAAAAAACAUGUAAAAACAGCUGAUCAUGUGAUUAAAAGAUGUUAAAGAUGUUAAGGACGAAAAGUGAUCAGUGUUGAUGUUGGUGGAUCCUCCUGCAGCUGAGAAACAACGAGAAGAUCGAACGUCUUUGUUUUCAGUCUGAGCUGAAGAGCCUCAGCUGUCUGCUCACACACACACACACACACACACACACACACACACACACACACACACACACACACACACACACACACACACACACACUCACUGAGUCCUGUGUAAAGUGCUGACAGUGCCGUGUUGUUGGUGUUCGUUAGUCCUCAGACCUUCAUACUUCAGAGGACCGGUGUUGACAUGUUGUUUUCUGGAGCACCUCAUGAGCUCGCUGAGGAGAUGAGAUCAUGAGUGAUUUUACAGAUGCAGGACAAAGACAGCGAGUGUCUUUACGUGGACAUGAGUAUGAGCGGGUAUCCUGCUGCAUACACACACCUGAUUCUGGCAGCUGACGACCACCUGCGCAGGUGUGGUUGACAGAGCCGGCCCAAGCCUCAGUGAGGCCCUAAGCAGAAUUUGAUUUUGGGUCCCUCUAUUUCUGCCAAUAACAUUGAUUGUUGAUCAAUCACACACCGUCACAAACCUUUAUCUUGGCGUUUUUUCCCCUCUUCUUCUUUCUUUUCUCUGCUCCUGAAGGAUAUGUCCAUUUUUGCGACAUUGUUUUGCCCCACAACUACCUGCACAUUACACAGCAGGAUGCACAGAACGGUAGCGGAGCUUUGACAUAUAAGCAGUAGGAAUCUACAUCAGCAGCAGCACUAAAAUAUUUUCACUUUAAUUUUAUUUUUACAAUAAAAAAUAUUUAAUCAUACAGAAAGCAUCACUCAGACAUACAAAAAAUAAAAAAUAUAUUUAUUUAUUAAAUUUUUUUGAUUGCUCUUGGGGCCCCCUAUUGGCCGAGGGGCCCUAAGCAGGCACUUAGUUCGCUCAGGCCUUGGGCCGACUCUGGUCAGAUAAAAACGUGGGUCAGUCUGUCGUGGUUUAAAGUAGUGAGGGUAAAAACACCGGUGUCAUGGUUGAAAGAAGCGAAAGAAAACGACGACAGCUGAUCAAUUAUAUGGUUGUCAUAGUAACAGGCUCAUGUAUUCACCUGUUCAUUAAGGCUAUAUAAGCGCAAAUGUCUUCCAAAGUUAUCUGAUGAUUAUUUUCAGUCAUUUUUAUGAGACUUUUAAAAAAAUUACAGGUCUCUAUCCUGUAUCUGCUUCCCUGUAGUGACGUAUUUCCAUCCUAUCUUGGUUUGAAGUCUACACAUGCUGUCCAGGAUGAGAUUAAACCUUGUGAUGAGGUGAAUCACCUGAGGAGCUGCCUCUCCCUUUCGUCUCUCCGAGGUUGUCAGUUUACUCGGGGUGUUUUUUUUUCUUUUUUUGCGUUUUCUUUUUUUUUUCCCUGUAAACUUUGUAAGUUUUCCUCCGUUCUGUCAGUUUCAGGGAGCAGAAUUUUCCCUGUCCCUUUUUUCUUCUAACUGGGUUAUAGUUUGUGUCCGGGGGGCGGCUGCAGGCUCCGCCUCCUUGGCGUUUUUAGCUGGUGGUGGUGAUGGGGAUUGAACCGCUGACCUUUUGGUUGCCGGUUUCUUUCUGCGCCCCGCAGGCCUCCAGUUCCCUGCGAGUCUUCCUGCAGAUCUGAGGAUUAAAACACUCCUCCCUGCAGCUGCCUGACUCCCUGCCAGCUCUGUACAACCACCAACCCAGCGUGAACACCAGCCCCUGUGUGUGUGUGUGUGCGAGUGUGUGUGUGAGAGAGUGUGUGUGAGUGUGAGUGUGAGUGUGUGUUCUUGACUAAGUCCUGGCUCCCUUCUUUGUAUUUAUUUGUGGCGCAGUAAAUCUGAAAAUCAUCAGCGCACUUCUUCCACCCUCUAUGACACAAACACACACUUACACAAACACACACACACACACUGACAGUCAGGGAGCUCCAAAUGAGCCUAAAAACUAUCAAAUGGCUUCAAAGUGCUGCGCCGUUGCCAUGACAACUGUCAUAAAAAGGCAAUCAGAAAGUGAUUUAAAGGCUGAUUGGACGCUAAUGGUUUGACAAGAGAGAACAGAUAACUGCUGCUUUAGAGACGGAGGAGAUAAUCUGUGUGUGUGUGUGUGUUUAAUGUGUGCGUGUGCGUUUUCUUGCCAUUAAGAGGCUCUAACUUCAGAACAGUUUUGUCGAUUUAUCUUCCGCUCUUUGUUCGACAUUUCAUUUGCGUGCGUGUGUCAGAGAUGGAUCGAGUGUUCGGAUCCUUUGGUGAAGCUUUAGCUCCGAAACACUCUUCAAAGUGACUCAGUUCAGAGUAAAGAUCUGAAACAAGGCGCCAACAGCACAAGGAUAUAAAAAAUAACUUCUUUAGCGGUCGGUUUUCUCUCUUUAUUUAAAAGCUAGAUUAUUUAAGCACCUCAAACAAAAGUGAAAUAUAAAAACUUGGAAUUAGAAAGCAAAAUAUUCAGUAUGUAACUACUGGAUGUAAAGAAACAGUCUAACAGUAGAUUGUAAAAGAGAGCUGAAUGAAGGUAAAGAGGGUGAACUUGGCUCUCUUGUGGUGUUUGUUCUUCUGGAGCACUCGCCAGUUUUUCCUAAAAGUUGAUUUUAUUAAACAUAGAGAGAAGAGAGUGAUGAAAAAAGACAUGCAGCAAAGGGUUGAGGUCUGAAAUUGAACCAGCAACCACUGCAACAAAAACUAUAGCCUCCGUAAAUAAGGGUGUUUUUCCGCCUCUGCAUCCGUCCGCUUAGGUGUCCACCCUCCUCGUGAUGGGAAGAACAGCUCUUUUGACUGUACUGAAUCUUUAGAAUCCAUUUAUCAAAAUGAUUCAUUCAAAAGAUUCGUUCGUGAGUGUUCAAUGAACGAGCCCCUCACUGGGUGACACUUGUCGUUCAUUCGCAAAGUCGUAAAGGGGAAACCCUCCACUGCCCUGAAAAUUUACCUUUGUUCACAUCGUGACACGAGUGGAACAACUCGGCAGCAAGCGGCACACCCGCCAAAUGAGCGCGGGUCAUCGUUCUUUAUACCGUGGAAAAGUGGAGAGAAUAAAAAUAAAUACACAGUGAACAAACCGGUGCUUGGCAGUUCGUUAACAAAGCUACAUCCUUCCUUCCUCUACCUGCCUCAAGUCGUUUGUUUCAUUCACAGUAUGACUGAUACAUGAAGUUUAUUCUGAAAAGGGUCAAAGGCGGUAGUUCCACUCCCGACCAGCACGCCACGCUCGCAGCUGAACUCAACUGAACUGAGAAAGGAACGAAUCAGGUCUUGGAGUGAUUCCAUUCACAUCGUUCACUCAGGUGUUCCGUUCUUUUGAGUAUUGUUCAUGAACGAAACAACAGUACACCCUCCUAACUUCAACAACAUUAAAGAAGCCCCGCCCACGCAGAUCACUGCAUAGAUAAUGAGGUUGGAAACGGAGAGGCUGCAGAUCAUCUAAAGUUGCUCAAAAUACAGCUAGGGCAUGUUUUAAACGUCUAAAAAAUCUCAUUAAAUCUCAACUUAGAAAAGGAGAAUAAUAAAGACUCAUGACUGACUAUCAGUACCACAAACUCUGAGGGAAUAUAUGCUCGCUGUACUUAUUUAUUGGCAUGGUUAUUUGACCGCAGGGGUUUCUGCAUGGGUCGAUCCUGUAAUGAUUGCCCAUUAGGCAUUUAUUAAGACUUCAGAUCGGUCAAUAUAACCAUGUGAACAUCUGUAAAUUAUAUAAGUCCUUAUUGUCAAAGAGAGCAGCUGCAAAGAGAAGAAAUCAUGAAGCAUGUUGACCCAGAUAUCUGUAUAAUAAAGCAGAAAUACCAUCAAAGAAGCUUUUUUUUUCCGAGAGUGCCUGAAGAGUUCAUUUAAAAACCAUUCAGUUACAGCUUCAGAUCCUCUCAGAACAAAAACACAGAGUUUCCCGAGGUUUAGAGAAAUCUCACCACAGUCUCCUCUCAUGUGAGUGAUGAGGACCGUCUCAGUAACGUGCCUUUGAGCCAGGCAGGAAUCAUCUCCAGCCAAUUAUUCUGCUGUCUGCAGAAACACUCGGGCUGUUUGUAGCUGACACCGUUAGAACCUGACUGACAGCUGCAGCUCGGUUUGAUUCGUACGGCGUCUCUUCUUUCCGCAGCUAAUAACAAUCAAACGAACAGAGAUCUUUUUCUUGUUGUUCUUGUUUGGUGAUUCUUAACUGUGAGUCUGUGGGAGAAAAAAAAAAAAACUGAAUCUUGGCGCUUAUAAAGAGAAAACUCAGCAACUCAUGAACCAAACGGCAAUGAAGGAAUCAGGGCUGGGCGAUAAACCAAAAAUGUACCUAAACUGAAAUUUACGACAAUAACCAUAUCAGUCGAUAUUGAUAUAUAUCAUGAUAUAAAAAAAAUGAAAUUUAACAGUGUUUAUUAGUAGCAUAUCUUUUGCAGUACAAUAAGUUACUGCAUCUGUGAGGUCUUUGUGUCUCUUCGACGUUUUGUUGUAAGACGUUACGCUAAAAGAAGGGGACUGAAUGGCUGUUUCGGCUGCACAGGCGCCAUGGGCUCCUUCCUCCGCUCUGGGUUUAUAACCUUUUGCUCUGCAGCGUGGCUUCAGGUGGUGAAAAAGAUUUGAGGUAUUCCCGACUUUGUGAGAACAUGUACUCGACAUAAUUUGCAGUACACGUUACUCUACUUCAUGUUCGACCUCAAAAAAACAAAAUACCUCCACACCACCGACGUUUUUGUGUCAGUGUUGUCGACGAUGUCGUAGGGAGUAGCACUCAUUUUCUUUGUUUCUCACCAACAGUGCUGUUGGCUUCACCUGUUAAAGUGCUAUAGUUGGGUGUAGCUGCUGUCUGCUACGACACAGUUGUUUGAUACUUAGUUUUAAUUCAGCACAUGAUUGGUUCAGCAUGAAGCGGACCCGGGGCAACUCCCCUUUUCAUUGGCUAUUCAUAUAGUCUGCCAAAACAUGGCAGACUGGCGGUUAUCGAAAGCAUAUUGACCACGUUUUAUAUUGAUAUUGAGGGAAAUUAAAUUUUGACAUAUAUCGUUAUCAAUUUAUCGACCAGCCCUAGUUUCAAUAAUAAUCUACCUGGUAAAUAAGUCAAUCAAAACCUAUAGUUGGCCCAGCAGAUCAAAGGGAAACCAGGUCCUGAUCCAAGACCAACUUAGGGUUAGGGACUUGUAAGACCUGGAUGAGAUCAUCCCAAAGAAAGAAGAGUUCAGAUUUUUUAUAAGAGUUUCACAUCCAUAAAAGCUUUAAUCCAUUAAAAAAUUAACUAUAUUUUCGGUUUUGGAUAUAAUCAGACCGGUAGUUAUUGUUCUUUAAAUUUAUUAUAAGGGGCAAAGUGAGGGCUGGUGGUAAUUUACUAUAUUGAGCUAGACUAAAAGGUUUUUUUUAUAUUUGUCUAUUUCACUACCAAACAUAAAGGGUGUCAAAAAAUAAAUUGAGUUGGUUGGUUGUUGAUGUGUGCAGGUAGGCUUUGGUCUCAUGUCCCUUUUUAAGAUGCUGUCCUACGUCAGAGACGUGACUCCACCCCAUCCAGUCUGUAACAAAGAGGGAAAGACAGGUGAGGAGAUGAGGACGGUUCAAAAGUUGUAGCGGCUGAAGUAGACGAAGUUAAUGUAGGAGGGGGUUAGCAGCUGGUGGAGUAGUUAUCAUCCAUUUAUCGUUAUUAAGGUAAACUGAUCAAUAUAUCGUGAUAUUGAUUGAAUUUUAUUAUCGCCCAGCCCUAGAAGGAAUAUCAACAAAAGUCCUCGCUCUCUAAACUCUGAAAUCUACCAAACGUCUCGCCAUCAAAUGUGACCAGCUGGGUUUUGUGGAUCUUAAACUACAAGUAAGACUGCAAACUGGAGGUUCUCGCUCUUCAGCCACAAAUUUGAUAUAGUUAACCUGCAGACUUUGAGGUCCCAUAGUUUGGGCUCAAUUCUGACUGUUUCCUGAGUGUUUUCUCGCUGUUUAGUCGGAAUUUACAUUUUUUAGCUGCUUUGGAUCAACGCCUCAAGAUCUUUCAAACCAUCAAAAUUGCGGCUUUGCUCACCUUUGUUUGAGUCUCAAAAUCCGUCUUGAUUAUCUUGACCCUGAUUUACUUUUGUCACAUUAUUCUUUAACUUGAGCAGCUAAAAAGGACCAAAGAGGGGGAGACGAUCUUAAGAUGUCAAAAUCACCAGAAAUAAGGGCUUAUAAAGAAGAUUAAAAGGAAAGGAGAGAAGUACACAGUCAACCUCCUUCAGCUUCAGAUCUUCUCCUGCAGUGAAAUCAGAUGAACUCAUUUUACCGUAAUGUGUUCAGAGUAAAUGCGACGUGUUAUUUCUGGACUCGGAGCACUCCACAAAGUGCCUUUGUCUUAAGUGCUUUUGUUAAAACUGCUUUGGUAAACAAUUCAGGCUGAGAAGGAGGAGGAGGAGAAGGAGGAGGAGGAGGAGGAGGACUUGAACCUGAGACCUGCGGAGACCCGCGUAGUCCACUGAUGCUUUCUGACAGCUUUAAUGCAAAGACUUCAUAAAUUAACCAGCGCAGAGAGCUGAAAACUUCACGCUUUUCUCAGGUGUUUGACUGCAUACCUUUAAAGGACCAGUCCGCACAAAUACUAAAACCUUGACGCCUGAUUUAAUGAGGUUUCAUGAGGCUGCCUCUGAUUUUAACUCUGAAGAAGAAGAAGAGGAGUAGGAUGGAUGGAGUUUGACUCAAAGAUAAUUUGGUGGAGGUGAAUGGCUCCAGAGAAUCGAGUCUGUUGUGUUCCUCUUGACGCUGACGGAUUGAUUGAGAAAGUGCUAAUUUGACUUUUGUGUCGAUGAUAAACUUUCCCACGCUGAGACGCUGCAGUGAUUUGUCUCAAUUGUAGAUCUUAAUGUCUGAAAAACGAGGAGGAGUAAGAAAUGUUUGAUUACUCAAGGAGAGAAGAAAAGAAACAUACAUUCUGAUGGAGUAAAGAAAAUCUCCUAAAAUCUCCUCUGUGUUCAGUUUAAAUGAGAGUCCACAGGCGCAGCUCCGUAAACAGACUCUAAAUACCCUGAUUUCUCCUUUAAGACUUGUUUAUUUCAGCUGUACGCUCGUCUCUAUACUUGUAUGUAUAGACAUAUUUAUAUUUAAUAUAUUUCUGAAUUCUUGAAAAAGGUUUGAAUCUAAACCAUAACAGCAGCCGCUGCAGGUGCGCGCAGACACACACUGAGCUGGCAGAGUGUGUGUAUGUUUUAUUCAUAUCUGACCUGUCAUAGACUCACACGCUGCGGUCGUCUGAACUCUCAGCUGCAGCUCAGAGUUAAGAGGAAGCUGAACUGAAGCUGAACGACUCACUUUUAUUUAAUCAUGACAGGAGAGUUUAUAAAAAAAAAAAAAAAAACAGAAACAACAAACAUGGAGUCUCUGCUCGGGUCCUGUCUGUGUUUAAGAGACCUUCUGGCUUUAGAAAUGGGAACAGAUGAGUUUUAAUGGUACUGAUGUCAUCAACUACGGUGGCUCUGAAAGGUCAAAACUUUUGAAACCCAAAAGUGUUUUACAAAAGACAAACAUGAUUCACAUGAACACAAAAUAUUGAAAAAAUUCUUAACUUAAAAAUAUUUUCAAAACAAAUAAUUAUCACAUUUAAAUAUUUUCGGGAAAACAAAGACAUACAACCAAAAAAAAAACCCACGUUUAAAAAUAAUAUUUUUGUGUUUCCUUUAAAUUUUAUUUUAAAACUUUAUUUGUGUUUUUUAAAUAUUUUUGGAGGUUUUCAAAAAUCACCUGUUUCCAUUUUUAAAGGGUUUUUGAGAUACAUUAAUAUCUUUAUAAGAUUUUUACAUUAUUAAAUUUUAUGUGUAAUUCCAAAAUAUUUGUUUUUUUUAAAUGAUUUUUUAAAUGAUUUAAAAUUUAAAAUAUUUUUUUUAAAUACAAUUUUCUUACCUAAAACAUUUUCGUUUUCAGCAUUUAUUUAUUUAUUUUUAUUGUGUUUUUCUUUUUAAAAUAUUCAUUUGUUACCUGUUUUUUUUUUUGUCAUUUAUCUAUCACCUUCCUAAAAUAGUUGUACCUUUGACUUUCAGGGCCACCAUCUGGAAAACCAGCUGAGAUGUAAAAGGAACAUCUGAUUGGUCGACACGCCGACUUAGAAUCAUCGCCACUUUUUUAAGGG